UUUUUGAGGCGGUGGCUGCCGAGGUGGUGCCUGAGAGAGCUCCAGAGCCUGUAGCAGAUGAAAGACCUACCGAGCGAACAGUAGUAGGCUUGCAAUCACAACUUGAACAAGUCUGGAGAUGUCUUGCAGAAGAAUCAGCGGGAAUCAUUGGCCUAUAUGGUAUGGGCGGUGUUGGUAAAACUACACUAUUGACCCAUAUCAACAAUAAAUUUCUCGAGAGUCCAACCAACUUUGAUUGUGUGAUUUGGGUAGUAGUUUCAAAAGACCUGCGACUUGAAAAAGUUCAAGAAAAUAUUGGGAAAAAGAUAGGUUUGGUUGAUGAUUCAUGGAAGAGUAAAAGUGUAGAGGAGAAAGCUCUCGACAUCUUCCGGAGUUUAAGAGAGAAGAGAAUUGUAUUGCUGUUAGAUGAUAUAUGGGAGCGGGUUGAUUUAACAAAAGUGGGCGUUCCACUUCCAGGACCACAAAAUACUACCUCAAAAGUCGUAUUCACAACCCGUUUCAUCGAUGUUUGUGGUAGCAUGGAAGCUGACAGGAAGUUCCAAGUAGCAUGCUUAUCAGAAAAGGAUGCUUGGGAACUGUUUCGAGAAAAAGUUGGGGAAGAAACUCUUCAGAGUCAUCAUGAUAUCGUUGAGCUAGCCCAAAUUGUGGUCAAAGAGUGUGGUGGUUUGCCACUCGCACUUAUUACUAUUGGUCGAGCUAUGGCCUACAGAAAGAAAGCGGAGCAGUGGAGACGUGCAAUUGAAGAGUUAAGGAGAUCAGCCUCAGAGUUUGCAGGUUUGGGAAAAGAGGUGUAUACUCUUUUGAAAUUCAGCUAUGAUAGUUUGCAGAAUGAUACGGUUAGAUCUUGUUUCUUGUAUUGUUGUUUAUAUCCUGAAGAUUAUGGCAUUCUUAAAUGGGACUUGAUUGAUUGUUGGAUUGGCGAGGGAUUUUUUGGGGAAUCUGACAGGUCUGGUGCAGAAAACCAAGGAUAUGACAUUUUGGACACUCUUGUUCGUGCAUGUUUAUUAGAAGAGGUGGAAGAUGAUAAAGUAAAAAUGCAUGACGUUGUUCGUGAUAUGGCUGUAUGGAUAACCAGUGAAAUUGAGAAAGGGAAGAGAAACUUUUUGGUUCGUGCAGGUGCUGGAUUAAAAGAGGCACCGGAUGUUAAAGGAUGGGAAAAUGUGAGAAGAUUGUCAUUGAUGCAAAACCAAAUUGAAACUCUGUCCGAGGUUCCUACAUGCCCUCAUCUCCUCACUUUAUUUCUUGACUUUAAUGAGAAGUUGAAGAUGAUCACGGAUGGCUUCUUCCAAUUUAUGCCUUCUCUCAAAGUUUUGAAGAUUUCACACUGUGGUAGGAAUUGGAAAGAUUUGAAAUUACCUGUUGGGAUGUCAAAGUUGGGUUCACUAGAACUUCUUGAUAUUUCACAUACGCUGAUAACAGAGUUACCAGAAGAGUUAAAGUUGUUGGUAAAUCUGAAAUGUUUGAAUUUGAGGUCGACAGAAUUGUUAAUUAGAAUUCCACGGCAACUGGUAUCAAAUUCUUCAAGGUUACGUGUGUUGAGAAUGUUCGCUACUGGCUGGUUAAAUUUUCAUGAAGCACCAGAAGACAGCGUUUUAUUUGGUGGGGGUGAAGUUUUGAUACAGGAAUUGCUCGGUUUGAAAUAUUUAGAGGUAUUGGAGUUGACCUUGCGAAGUUAUCAUGCUCUCCAAAUUCUUUUGAGCUCAAAUAAGUUAAAAAGUUGUAUUCCAUCUCUUUUCCUCCAGUUGGCCGGAGAUACAACGUCGAUUAUUGAUGCUGCGGCUUUCGCAGAUCUAAACCACCUCAACGAUUUAUUUAUUUAUAAAGGCAUUCAGUUGGAAGAAUUGAAGAUUGAUUAUACAGAGAUAGUACAAAAAAGGCGGGAACCUUUUGUUUUCCGCAGCCUUCACCGUGUUUCUAUUGGGGGGUGCGAUAAAUUGAAAGAUGUGACAUUCCUCGUUUUUGCUCCAAACCUCAAGUCUCUUUGGCUAUUCGAUUGCGGUGCUAUGGAAGAAAUAAUCAGCGUCGGAAAAUUUGCUGAGACUCCUGAGAUGAUGGGACAUAUAAGCCCUUUUGAAAAUCUCCAAAGGCUUGAAUUAUGGGAUUUGCCAGCUUUGAAGAGCUUCUACUGGAAGCCAUUGCCUUUCACUCAUCUGAAAGAAAUGGUGGUACAUGGGUGUCAUCAGCUUAGAAAGCUUCCACUCGAUUCCAACAGAGCAAAAGAGCGUAAAUUUGUUAUUCGUGGAAAAGCAGACUGGUGGAACCGACUUCAAUGGGAGGAUGAAGCCACUCAAAUUGCUUUUCGUUCCUGUUUCCAACCUCGUUCCUGAGCGGUGGUCGCAAAAUUUGAUUUCUGGUGAGUGCAUUCGUCUUUUAAAAGAAGAAUUUAAAAGAAAUUUAUUCUUGUCGUUUUCUUCUCUGUUUUUAUUUCAGUUUCUUUCUCUCUCUCUCUCAAGGAUCUCUAAUCAAUAGCUGGAAGCAAUUGAGAGGCGCCGAGACCCGAUCGGAUCUAGGCCCAAGUUUGGUCUUAAAGCCUGGGCUUGAGCCUGACAAUUAAAUUAAAACAUUAAUUGAUUUAUUGAUUGAAUUGUUGUGUAAUUGAUUUAUGGGGGAUGAAACAUCAACAUACUUGAAAAUACACUAAUCUUAGCAUCAUCGGUUAAUAACUGUUAGAUUUAUGGGUAAUCGUAAUCAAUAGUUAAGAUUAGUUGUCAUUAAUACUAAAUAUUUUUUACUAUUUUUGUCUCUACUAGAGGAUCUUCUAGAAAAAUGCAUCCACAACAAAAUUUAAUAUUUUACAUAAUAAACAAAAUAUAAAUGUUAAAUUUAAGAAACUGCAUUGCAUUUCAGCUGAAGCUGACUUUAAUAUUUAGGGUAGAAAAACAAUUAAAUCCUUAAUGUGUUUAAUUUCUAUCACUUGUGUCAUUAAAAUUUUCUAGCCACCUUAACCAAUUACAUCUCAACCCACUUUUUUUGGAUGAUUUUAUUUUUACACAAUUAUUUUCAACAUAUCAUGAUGUAUUCGUCAAAAGCUGGAAAUGACUGUUGCCCGUCAAAAUUCACAUUUUUUCCUUAACGAUAAAGUUUUAAUAUAAUUUUGAAGUUAUAACGUCAUAAAUAUAUUGCAUAAUAAUAAGAAAAAGGACCUAAAUGGUAAAAGUGAUAAAUAAUAAGAUCGAAGUAUCAUUUUCCAAUGUUAAAUGAGGCAAUGCCAUUCUCCGGUUCUCUUCUUUAAAUGCGUGAUGUGUGUGCUCUGUUUUCUCUAUUAUUCUUUUUCUCUUUUAGAUUUUGAGAACGUAAAGGGUGCAGGAGUCUUUAUCUUGUUAAAACAAGUCUUUUCGAAGUAUUCAACUAAAUUAAAUCAUGGCCUAAUGCUGUGUCAAUUCCAUCAUCAGCAUUUUUUUUUUCCUUUUUAACACCAACAUCAGUGUAUGUUUGGAUAAUUUGAAAUCUGUUUGUGUUUUAUCUCAAAGUAGAGCUUCAAUCAAUUUGUACCUCACAAAUUCACAAUAUCUAUUAAGGAUAAUAAGACCGAACUCUGGCAUAUUGUCAAAUGUGCUUAUCCAAUUCCAAAUUAAAAUGUUGACAGUGUUUCAUCAACCAAGAACUUGUCUUCGAUAGUUAAUCGGAUUAAAGGGAAUAAUUAAUGAGAGCAAUUAAUUAAUAUUAGCCGGCAUCGUCUGUUUCAUAGGUACUCGUGGUUCACUAACAUAAGCGUUGAAUUUGUAUAGUAGCUUGUUCCUUUCCUUCGGUUUUACUUAAUGAAAACCUUGGCUAGAUCGUACACCAAUGUAAAAUCGAAAACCCUUAUGCCACGAAGAGUUCUUAGUGCAAUUGAGAUCAAUGAUAAUCAGCUGAUAGGGAAAACAUUGUCUGAUUGUCAUAAACAAACUUCUUGAAAAUGCCAUCAGUAACAUGGAAGAUUUGGAGGUUAUUCAAAUGCUGACUUCAGGAAUGCAGAUUAAUAUAUUAUGGAGACAGAUUGAGUGCAAUGGCUAAUUGUAACAGGGAAUUUUUAUUGUACAAACAGACCAGCCAGCAAAGAAUAUUCCAAAUCUAGGACUAAACAAGUCAAUAAUAAAAUAAACAAACGGCAAGAGAGAGUGAUUAUAUCUACAACACCAUCGGCUACUACAAAUUCAACUUUUCAACAGUUGUUACUCACCAUGAACAGAAAAAAGAAAAUUACAACAAAAAAUUGGUUGCUAAAAGACGUCUAUUCAUGGUAAUGCCUCUCAAAUGGGUUCAAAACAUGGAAGAAAAGCAUUUAGUGUGGCUUCAUCGUCCCAUUUCAGCUCACUCCACCAGUGUUGCAGGGGCUUAGUCAAAGUGGCUUUCAAGAAGUUUUAUUACCACCUCAGUUCAAAUCCUAAGAGAGGUAGGAGGAUAAAAGAAUUAAUUUGGACUUUACCUAGCCCUCUACCUUUGUUAAAUUUAUGUUAAAAAAAAAAAUAGAUUUGAGAUUGGUAAUAUCCUUAUUUUUUGUUUUCAAAGGAAACUGAUUUAGGACCAAUGAGACUUUGAUCCAAUGGGAGAAGCCUUUCACUUAUAAUGUUAAGUAUAAGGGUUCGAUCCUCCAUAAGAGCUUUAUGAAGGUUAAUUUCAGUACUUCCUUAGUUAUCAGUUAAUUGAGUGGAGACAGUCUCUCCCUUACGAAAUGUGAGUGGAGUAGGCACCCCUCGAAUAUUAGAGAAGGUUUAAAGUAUCUGAGCAAGUGCUUUAGUGGGUUAAUAUAUGGCGGUAGUUCCAGUUGUUUAGUAUGAUUGUAGUACGAUUGUAUAUAUUAAUUGUAAUAUCUAAUGUAAUAUCAAUAACAAUCUGUGCAUAACAGAAUUCAAAAAAAGAAAAGAAAAAAGAAAACUGAUUUAGGUGGUUUCUUGGUUAAGACUUUUUCUUUAGCAUACUUAGUUCCACGUGCUAUUUAGAUAUUUUUCGACAUACUUAUUACUUAGUUCCACAUGCUAUUUAGAUAUAUUUCGACCAAAUGAACAAGCGCAAGCCAUUGACACUUAGCUUAAUUUCAGGGUCAAGCUAUAUUUGAAACUCAAAUAUUAACCUAUUAAUAUUUUCAAUUCAUUCAAUUAUAAAUUAGAGAUGAUAGAAAUUCUCAUAGGAACAGGGGCCCUAGGGGAUUUUAGAGGAUUUUUCCCAUUCGGGAAGGGUAGGAGACAAUUUUAUAUCAAGUUUCUUAUUCCCAGAGACUAUAAUAUUUUUUUACCUAAUUUCUUAUUCAGGGAAGAUAUGGAGAUGAUGUGGACUUUCCAUCCCCUCCCAAUUCUCCAUUUUUAUUUUUAAUUUUUAUAUUAUUUUUCUAGAAUUAUUAGUGAAAAUAAUAAAAUUUAAAUUGUAAAAAUUUUAUUAAUGAAUAAAUAAAAAUAAAAAUUUUAGACACCUUUUUCCCAAACUUGUAGCUUGACUUGCAGUUCUUGGAGCAGUAGCCUCCAAGACAGUUUUUCAAUUUCUCGAGAGCCGUCCCUUGUCAAUUCACCAACUUCAGCUUCCACAGCCGCCACCCUUGAGGUGAUGUUUGGUUGGGAGGAGAGAAUGGGGGAGAGGAAAGUAAUUUAAAUUCUACUUUUAUUUUUAUUGUUUGGUUGCACGAAAUAUAUAAGAAUUUAAUUUCCAUUAGAAUUUAAUAUCCUUUAUAAUCUAGAAUUUGAAUUCCACACCAAAGAGUGAAGAAUUCAAAUUCCUCUUAGGUUGAAAACCCAAGUUUCCAAAUUUGUCCUUCAACAUUUUAACUUGUUUAAUGCUAUUAAUAAUUAUUAUUUAUAAUUUUAUUUUAUCAAUUUAAUAUUAUAAAUAAUUUAAUAUUAAUUAAAUUUAAUGAAUGAUUUAAGACAUUUAAUAAAAUAAAUAAACUUAUUUAUUUAUUUAAUAUGCAAAUAUAUAAAUAUAAAUUAACUAUCGCCGGAACUUCGCUGGACCGUCGCCGGAAGCUGUCGAAAUUUCACCGAAAAGUCACCAACCACUGUUGAUCGGCGUUGGCUUAUGUUGACCGCUACUGUUGACCGGCUUUUAUUUAUAUUAAAUUAUAUUAAAUAGUUUAGUAUAUUAAAUUAUUUUAUAUUUUAUAUUAAAUAUAAAUCAUGAAUUGUUUCAUAACUUUUUGAAAUUAAAAAAAAUUGGUAUUAAUAUUAAAUUAUAUUUUAUUACUAAUAUAGAUAAUUUAGUAUUUAAGGUAAAGGAUAAAUUUGUCCAAAGAAAAAAAUUAUAAUUUCUUUCCUUAUCAAAUUUGAUGUCAAACCAAACAUUGAAAUUUAAUUUUAUUAAUCUCUUCCACUCAUUUCUCCUCCAUUCCACUUUUUUCUUCUCCUCUCCUUUUUUAAAACCAAACACCACCUGAAAGCCAACCUUGCACUUUGUUCAGCCGUCUCAGUUGUUGCUGCUCAGGAUUGGCGACCCUCAUCAUCACAUCGUUCUUUGGUUCAAUUAAUUUCUGCAAUUCGGUCUGGAUGGCAACCAGGUUAUCUUCAAGCUGGCUUAAAUAUCAUGCUUUUCUGCGGGUACAAUUUAUGAAGCCAGUGAAAAUUACGCAUACAAUAGGAGUGCAACACAGUGUGUAUUCGGUUGUGGUGUCUAUGAUUUUGCAGUCGCAGAAGCUUAUUCACCUUAUGAAGACUGAUCAGGUGGGCACCGUCGCUCUCCUUACAUUCUUAUGGAGAGCGAUAGUCCAUGUAGUCAGAUCUCACUGAGAGAACUAGCCGAGUGGGCAAUCGCUCCGCCUGAUCAAAAUUUGUCAUCUUAUAAUAAUAUCUUGAGUAGGUCUUGAAUUUUUUUUCCAAUUUUAAUCUUUAAAAGGUAGAAGAGGUGAAAAAAACCUAAAUAGUAUUUGUGUCCUCCUAAAUAACAUUUCUUGAACAUCAAUGGAUCUUAAAACUUAAUUAAGAAAAUAUUAUAGAUUUAUAAAUUAGUGGCCCUUAAAAUUUAUUUGCAAGUAACAAUUAGAGAAAAGUCGUCAGGCCCAAAAGACUUAGAGCAUCACCAAAAGACUCUUCAAAUAAGAUUUUAUUAAUUAUUUGAAGAGCCAUCUCAAUAUUUAAGACUCCAAAAGACACUCCAAUUAAGAUUCUUCAAAUAAGAAAUAAUUCUCUCUCUUCAAAUUUGGAGAGUUGAUUUCUCCCUCUUCAAUUUAUACUUUAUUACUUUCCAUUGGAGAAAAAGAGAGAAGUGCUUUAAUUGCUAUUGACUUUUUCUUUAAAAAAAUAAUUAUUUGAUUAAAAUAAUAUUAAGUUAUUUCUAUUUGAAGAGUCUUUUGGAGAAUAUUAUUUUUUUUUACUCUUCUAUUUGCCACAUAGAUAAGCAAAUAGAUAUUUGAAGAGUAAAAUUUAUAGAGUCUUUUGGAGAUGCUCUUACUAAAAGUCGGCAACUCGUCAUGACCAAAAUUCUUCCGAGUGUGAAAUACGGCAUGCGCAGAUGCAUUAAAAACAAAAGCCAGCUAAGAUAUUCUUUGUAUACUUGCAUUCCCUAUCAUCUUAUUAAUAAUUUCAGACACGUCGUUCGUUCCCUGUGACUUUUCAUAUGCAACAGCACAGUCAGUGUUACAAUUUACAUUUCGAAUUGGGUGUCAUCUAUAUACUCUACCUAGAUCUAACAUGAUAUUGCAGUAUUGCACUGAUUUUUUUGUCGCAGCGUUUCUCUAUGAAUUCCUUAAACUUUAAACACAUCAUGGAAUAAUUAUUUUCUUAAAGACCAAAUUAACAUAAUUCUUAAAUCAUUUAUAAAACAACAUUUAUCAUAUAACAGAUCGUACACGAAUCAAUUUUCCUUGAACAGUAGCAAACAAACAAGAAUCUCAACCACAUCACGAGAUCGCCCACGUCAAACCAAGUAUUCUUAAUGAGUGGACCAGCUAAUAUAUUCAAAAUUGGAAUUAAUUGAGGAUAAUGAUUAGUGCUAAUACAUUUGCAAAGAAAAAUCAUGCCUAUUGAAAAACUCAUCUUAUUAGCAGCAGCGUUAUAAGUAGCAUCCAAUCAUAGUUUCACGCAAGAUUUUGAGAUUAUUCAAAUGCUGAUCCCGGGAAUGGAGAUUAAUAGAUAAUGGAGACAGGUUGACUGCAAUGGCUAAUUGUAAGAGGGAUUUUUAGCCGUAAAAACAGAUCAACUAGCAAAGCAAAUUCCAAAUCUUGGAAUGCAGUAGCAAAAAAACGAAACAAACAAAUGGCAAGAGGAAGUGACUAUACAACAAUAACAUCGACUUGCAAUUCAACAUUUAUACAGUUUUACACACCAAGAAAAGAAAAAAUUACAAUAGAAAUUUGGCCACUAAAAGAUGCUCGUUCAUGCUUAUGCCUGUCAUAUGGAUUUGAAACAUGGAGUAAAAGCAUUUAGAGUGGCCUCAUCCUUCCACUGCAGCUCAUUCCACCAGUAUUGCUCUCCCCUAAUAACAAGUUUUCGUUCCUUGGCGCUGUUGUAAUCGAGUGGAAGCUUCUUGAGAUUCGGGCAGCCAGAUACAAACAAUUCCAAGAGAUUUGGAAAGGGCAAUGCAUUCAAACAGAUCUUCUUCAGAUUUCUUACAACUUGCAACCGAAGAUAUUGGAGUUUCGAAAAAGUUUUUUGCACUGGAACUUCUGGAACUUCUUCCAAUUUCCAAACACUGAUUAUUUCUUCCAUCUCAUAACAACGUUCUACAUGGACCAUCUUGAGAUUUGGGGCAAAAACAAGCCAUGUCAUCUCCCUCAAUUUACUGCAAUAGUCUAUGGUAACACUUUGAAGGCUGUUGAAACCAUAAAGUUCUCUUGUUGUUUGAAUUUCUGCAUAGUCAACCUUUAGCUCUUCCAAACUUGUACAAUACACAAAAUCUAGUUUGUCAAGAUACUUGAGAUCUGCUAUGGACAAAAUAUUCCAUGACCUUGAAUCCUCACAGCGGCGAAGCUCUAAAGCAUAUUUACAACUCUUGUACUGUUGGCAGCUCAAAAGUCUUCGUAGAGCAUAAAAACUUCUUAACGUGACGCUUAAUACAUUUAAAUGUUCCAAAGUAAUCAACUCCUCUACCAAAAUUUCACUACCACCAAAUAGAACGCUAUCUUCUGGUACUGUAUUAGCAGAGCCACAAUCUAGCAUCCUCAACACCUUUAACCCAGAAAAAUUACAAAGCAGUUGCCGUGGAAUCGUAUGGAGAUAACGCAUGUACUCCAAGUUCAAACACUUUAGAUUUUUCAAGGCUUUUAAUUCAUGUGGCAACUCUUUGAUGAAAGUUUCUGAAAGAUUAAGAUAUUGUAGUGAAACCAAUUUUGAAAUUCCUGAAGGCAAUUGACUCAAGGAGCGAUUCUUUGAUAGGUUUAAAACUUUAAGAGAAGGCAUAAAAUCGAAGAAAUCACUAGGGAUAGUAUCUAACAUAUUAAUGCCGAGGAACAAAGUUAUAAGAUGAGGGCAUAUUGGAGUUAUUGGUAAAAUCACAAUUUUAUUUCUCAUCAACGAUAUCCUUCUCUUAUCUUCCCAUUGUUUAACUUCGGGUGGUUCAGUUAAUUCAAUACCGGCAGAAACCAAAAAGUUUUCAUUCUCCACUUCACAGGCUAUCCACAAGGUCAUAUCACGAAUCACAUCAUGCAGUUUUACAUAAUCUGAUCCUGCUUCUUCCAAUAGGCAUGCAUGAACAAGAACACCAAUAAUGUAGUAUCCUUGGUUAUGUACUCCAUUAAUUCCUUCAUAUUCCUUCAGAAAACCCUCACCAAUCCAACACCCUAUCAAUUCAAUUUUGCUAAUUUGAUAAUCCUCAGGAAAUAAACUACAGUAUAACAGACAAGAUCUAAGGACGUCACUAGACAAACUAUCAUAACUGAAUUUUAAAAGACGAAACACCUCUUUCUCCAUACCUGGAAAUUCAUAAGCUGAUCUCCUUAACAUCUGAAUUGCAUAGCUCCAUUCUUCGGGUGUCUUCUUGCUGCUCAUGGCACGACCGGUGGUAAUAAGUGCAAGUGGCAAACCACUACACUCCUUUGCCACAGUUUGGGCUAACUCCGGAAUAUCGGGAUGACUUUCAAGAGUCUCUUCUCCGACCUUCUUUAGGAACAAUUCCCAAGCAUCUUGAUCUGCCAAACACUCCACCUUGAACUUUUUUUGAGCUUCCAUGAGGCCACAGACGUCCACAAGACGAGUUGUAAAGACUAUCUUUGAUGCAUUUCUUGAACUCGCAGGAAAAGGGACACCCACUUUGGCUAAAUCAAUUCUUUCCCAUAUAUCAUCUAACAAUAGCAGAAAUUUCAUUUUGCUCAAUAAAUUGAAUAUGCCUGAUGCUUUCUCUUCAAAGCUUCUAUUCUGAAGCCAUCCUAUUCUUUCUCCGAUUUUCUGUUGUAUUCUCUCAAGUUGCAUGUCUUUUGACACCACCACCCAAAUCACAAUAUCAAAAUAAUUUGGUGUAUUAAGGAACCUGUUGUUGAUUUGGGUUAAUAGUGUAGUCUUGCCGACUCCCCCCAUGCCAUAAAGUCCGAUGAUUCCAAAUUGUCCUUCUACAAGACAUCUCCAAACUUUAUCAAAUGUUGAUUCUAGGCCGAUUAUUGUUGGCUGAAGAGGCCUUUCAUCCACUGCUGGUUGUGGUACCUUUUCAGCUACCACUGCAAAAGCUCCAUCAUCUAUUAAAGUAGCCACAAGCUGCAGCUUUUUAGACACCUUUUUCCCAAACUUGUAGCUUGACUUGCAGUUCUUGGAGCAGUAGCCUCCAAGACAUAGUUUUUCAAUUUCUUGAGAGCUGUCCCUUGUCAAUUCACCUACUUCAGCUUCCACAGCCUCCACCCUUGAAAGCCAACCUUGCACUCUGUUCAGCCGUCUUAGUUGUUGUUGCUCAGCAUUAGCGACCCUCAUCAUCGCAUCGUUCUUUGUUUCGAUUAGUUUCUGCAAUUCGGUCUGGACGGCAACCAGGUUAUUUUCAAGCUGGCUUAGAUAUGCUGCUUUUCUGCGGGUACAAUUUAUGAAGCCAGCGGAAAGGGCAUCACAUAUAAGUUGGAUUCCCAAAAUAUUACCCAUAGUUUGUAUGAGAUUCAGAGUACAAUAGAAGGAAUGCAACACAGUAUGUAUUCGGUUGUGGUGUUUAUGAUUUUACAGUCGCAGAAGCUUAUUCACCUUGUGAGGGCUGGUCAGGUGGGCACCAUCACUCUCCUUACGCUUUAUAGAGAGCGAUAGUCCAUGUGGUCAGAUCUCAUUCAGAUAACUAGCCAAGUGGGCAAUCGCUCCACCUUAUCAAAAUUCUUCAUCUUAUAAUAAUAUCAUGAGUAGGCCUUGAAUUUUUCUUUUAAUUUUAACAUUUAAAAGGUGGUGGUGAAAAAGUCUAAAUAGUAUUUUUGUCCUCGUACUUUAAUAACAUUUCUUGAAAGUCACUCGAUCUCAAAAUUUAAUUAAGAAGAUAUUAUAGAUUUAUAAGCCCUUAAAAUUUAUUUGCAAGUAAGCCCAUAAGACUUACUAAAAGUCGUCAACUCGUCAUGACCAAAAUUGAAAAUUCUUCCGCGUGUGAAAUACGGCAUGCACAGACGUAUUAAAAGCAAAGGCCAGCUAUGAUAUUCUUCGUAUACUUGCAUUCCCUAUCAUCUUAUUAAUAAUUUCAGACACGUAGUUCGUUGCUUGUGAUUUUUCAUAUGCAAAAGCACAGUCAGUGUUACAAUUUACAAUUACAAUUGGGUGCCAUCUAUAUACUCCUUCCUUGUUUUCAAAAUAUGUUGUAGGAUGGGUAAUUGUAACAAAAGUGAUUUUUAAAAAGAUUUAUUAUAAUAUUAAAAUUAACUUUUAAUUUUUUUAAAUUAUUUUUGAGCUUUCUGAAAAAAAAAUCCUAAACCGGUCUCAGAAGUAUAAUUAGAACCACGAAUUUAUAAAAUGAUCAAAGGAAUCCAUCGCCUAAUAUUAUAGUACGCAAUGGAUUGCUAUAAACUAAAUUGCUAUGAUCUCACUUCAUAAUAAUUUAUUUUCAAUCUCCAUCAUGGUAGAAAAAUUUCAUCAAUCAACAUACCCUACCACCACCCAAUAGUCGACCAUUUAUCAUCUUCUAUCCGUAAAAAAACGAAAAAAAAAAAAGAGAAAAGGAAAAAUUUAGUCCACAAAAGAAAAUAUCGCAAGACCAAACAGAGAGAGAAAAUAGAAAAAGCAAAGAGCUGUACUGAAUACCGGCGGUGAUGGCUCGGUACUUGACCAUUUAGGUUUGAUUCUGCAUUAACAUAAUAUUUUUUCUGCACUGCAUUCACAUCACAACCAUUGAAUAGUCGUGAUCUAUUUUUCUAAAGCGAAUAAUAUUAUCUUCUCGUGUCGGUGGCUUGAUCAUAUAACAAAAUAGACUAAUAAUGUUUCAAUAGACAUUUUGGUAAAUGGAAGAAGUUAUGAUCUGUCCAUUUUUAUGUUACUUUAUUUUAAUUUGUUAAUUACUAUUAAUAUCUUUGAGUGGGGCAGAAUCUUGACCUAAGAUAUAGGGAUGGCAAUGGGGCAUAUAUGGGUUGGAUUUACUCUGCUCCAUAUCCAAAUCCAUAAUAAAAAUUAAGAUCCGUAUCUGCUCCAGAUCCGUCAUGAAUCCAUAUUUUUCGGUCCAUAUUCAGAUCCAAAAAAGAAAUAAAUAUCUAUAUCUACUCCAAAUCUGAAAAAAAUUAAAAUCCAAAUCUGCUCUAAAUCUGUCAUGAAUUCUAAAAUUCAGUAAUAAAAAAUUAAUAAUUUUUUAGAUUGAAAAUUGAAGGCUAAAAUGUAUUGAUAACAAAUAAAUUAUAUAAUUUUUCUCAAAAAUAUAAUAAAUAUUGUAUCUUAUACUUUUUCACCAAAACAACAAAUAAGAAAGAUAAUAAAAUAUCAUUUAGAAGUAAUUGCAGGAGUAAGAUCAAUCUAAUAUUAUAUUGUCUCCUUCAUCAUUCUAAUAUCCACGAUACACCUACCCUCAUUCCUACAACAUUAGAUAAUGACAUAUAAAUUAAAUAUGAUUUAUAUUCAGUCCUUUAUUAUUUUUAUUAUGACCAUAUUUGACUAAAUAUAUGAAUAACUAUAUUUCUUAAAAAUUAUUUGGCCAAUAUAAUAAAAUAAAUUGCCAAGUUAUAUUACUUGGCUUACAAUUUAAAUAUUGCAUGUACAUGCUUUGGGGUUGGCUGGCCUUUAAAUUUACAAAACUAACUUUUAAGUUUUAAGAGUUUAAAUGCAUGGUAAAUACUACUAAUAUGCUAUGAAUAAAAUUUAUUAUCAUUAUAAUUCCACAAUUGUUAAGAAACUUUUAAAAUAAAAUAAAAUUAAAAGAUGAGUGGAUAUGGAUAUGGAUUUAGAUAUUAAGAUAGAUCCAAAUCUGCUCCAGAUCCGUCUUAGAUCCGCACAUCGAUAUCCAAAUCCGAUCCAAAUCUAUUUUAAACCGAUCCAAAUCCGAUCCGAUUGGAUUUGGAUCACGUGGAUCUUGGAUCAGAUCCAAUCCAUUGCCAUCCCUACUAAGAUAUGACUAGGCUCCACAUGUUAUAUAUUAAUUUGAUUAAGCCCAGCUAAUUGUUAAUUAUUAAUUUGAUUGCGGCUUUUUAUUUUACCCACAUUUUUUACGCGUGAAAUCUUUCUUAGUGAAAAACUACACGUAUUUGCAAAUAUUCGGAAUGGACAUUUUCGAAAAAACAAGUAAAAGAAAAUGACUAAAAAGUAAAAGAAAAUAGACACCCAAUUGUAAUUACGAGUACAAUAGAAGGAAUGCAACACAAUACCGAUUUUGCAGUCGCUGAAGCUUAUUCACCCUAUGAGGGCUGAUCAGGUGGGGGCCGUCGCUCUCCUUACACUCUUAUAGAGAGUUAUAGUCCAUGAUCUCAUUGAGAGAACCAGCCAAGUGGGCAAUCGCUCCACCUGAUCAAAAUUCUUCAUCUUAUAAUAAUACCUUGAGUAGGCCUUCAAUUUUUUUUUUCAAUUUUAAUCUUUAAAAGGUAGAAGAGGUGAAAAAGUUAAAUAAUAUUUUUGUCCUCCUAUAUAACAUUUUUUGAAAAUCACUCGUUCUUAAAACUUAAUUAAGAAAAUAUUAUAGAUUUUUAAGUUAGUGGCCCUUAAAAUUUAUUUGCAAGUAACAAUUAGAGAAAAGUCGUCAUGCCCAAAUGACUUACUAAAAGUCUGCAACUCGUCAUGACCAAACAUCUUCCGAGUGUCAAAUACGGCAUGCGCAGAUGCACUAAAAACAAAGGCCAGCUAUGAUAAUCUUUGUAGUAUUAAUAAUUUCAGACGCGUCGUUCGUUGCCUGUGACUUUUCAUAUGCAAAAGCGGAGUCAGUGUUACUUGCAUUCACUGUCACCUUAUUAAUAAUUUCAGACACAUCGUUGGUUGCCUGUGAUUUUCAUAUUCAAAAGCACAGUCAGAAUUACAAUUUACAUUUGGAAUUGAGUGCCAUCUAUUUAUUCCAGCUAAAUCUAAAAUGAUGUUGCAGUAUUGCACUGAUUUUUUAGUCACAGCGUUUCUCUAUGAAUUCCUUAAACUUUAGACCCAUCAUAGAAUAAUUAUUUUCUUAAAGACCAAAUUAACAUAAUUCUUAAAUCAUUUAUAAAACAACAUUUAUCAGAUAACAGAUUGUACAUGAAUAAAUUUACCUUGAACCGUAGCAAACAAACAAGAAUCUCAACAACAUCAAUAUCAUAAUCCCUUCUGACCUUAACAGUAAUUUUAUUCGUCCUUAAUUCAUAGGUAUAAGUAUCCCAAUAUAUACUUGAUGUCAACCUUUACAAUUCUUUACAGAAUUGCAGCAGACCAAAUUUGUAUGCAAAACUGAAAUCAUACAGUAAUUGAAUACAGUGAAAAUAGACAUGAUGGGAAUUAGUAUAUAUAAAUAUCUUAAUAAUUUAAAAGUUUCUUAAACUGAUUUUACAUAUCUGAAAAAUUAUAGAAAUCGGAACUGCUGCAGAAAUCAUAAUUUUCCAGCGAAUGUGUUACAACUUCAGAAACUCAUAAGAAAUUAAAUUCUUGGGAUCACAAAAUAAUUCAUCAAUUUAAGAGAUUCAGCAGUACUUUUAUUACAUCAAUUCUUCAAACAAUCACCAAUCUAACAUUCAUCAAAAUUAAGUCAUAAAAGUCAUGUGGUUUAUAAAAAGAAUUACCUGAAAAAGAUUAGCCUUCCCCUUUCAAAAGCAACGAGAAACUCCAAAAACUCUUCUUCCAUUGCCUAUUCAAACAUGAAAAAAAAAAAUUAGUAUCUCUUCUUUAAACGCGCGAUGAGUGUGCUCUGUUUUCUCUGUUCUUUUUCUUUUUUAGAUUUCGAAAACGUAAAGAGUGUUGGAGUCUUUAUUUUCUAAAAACAAGACUUUUCCAUGUAUUCAGUUAAAUUAAAUUAUGUCCUAAUGCUAUGUCAGUUCCAUCAUUAGCAUUUUUUUUUUCCUUUUAACACCAACAUUAGCGUAUGUUAAGUAUCAUAAUCCAUAGUUGGACAAUUUGAAAUCUCUUCGUGUAGUUGACUGGCAACAACUAUAUUGGCAUUUAGACAUAAUGUACUGCAACCAUAUUGACAUGUUCAAAUGUUCUCACUAUUGUAUUGGUGUGUCGAUAUUAUCUCUAUCAGUCCUAUAGAUCCAAAAAUAAUCUAAAUUUACAAUUUAACUUAAAAUAAAAUAAUUGGUAGAAAACAAUUAUGGUUCAUUUACUUAUCAGUAAUUAAAAUAGACUGAAAUUAGAAUGAGUUGUAUUGACGUUGAUGUGUUUCUGUUGUCCUCGAAUCGGAAUGAAUUAUUUUAACUUACUAAAAUACCCUUUGUUUGUUAUUCUAAUUAUUAUUAUUUAAUAUUUAUUAUAAUAUUUGUCAUAUUAUUAAAAAGAAAUAAUAAUGAUGAUAAUAUUAUCAUUAUUGUUUGUUAUAUUAUUAUUAUUCAAAAAAAUUGUUGUUAAUAACUAUAAUAACUUUAUUUCAAUAAUAAAAAUGAUAAAAUUAAUAAUAACAAACAUGACAACAACAAUAAUUAUUUAUUAUGCCAAAAAAUAACAAUAAUGAUAAGAAUAAUAAUCAUCAUCAUUUUUUUCCCAAAGAAGCAUUAUCAUCAUCAUUUCAAAAAAAAAAAUCAUCAUCAUCAGCAUUUUUGUAGUGGCUGCCUAUCGGCUGCUGCUUUCAUGUGAGAUUGACUUGCGACGCUUCAACUACUAUUAUUUCUGGCAAUGUCAGGUGUUGUUGUUUCAAUCUGGGGAGAAGCUGUUUCGGUGAGCUAACAAUGGGAGGUGUUGCUGCUCGAUGCGAGGUCCAUGGCCAGCUGUCUUGUUUUACACCCAGCUCUUGUAGGAAAUUAUUCAUCCACAAUAUUUCUUUGUAACCUUCAAUAAUUGUAAUAUCAUUUGCUUCCGUGGUAGAAAAGACAACUCAUUACUAAAGUCUAGAUUGCGAUGAGACUGCCUUCCCUACAAAAGUGAGCAAAUAUCCUCAUAGGAAUCUUUCAGAAUCAACAUCUCUUGCCAUAUCUGUUAAGAAUAACAUAUGCUGAGUCAGCUACUGAGUCAUCAAGCCACGCUGGAAGUCAGUUUUGCAGUUAGUUAGAGAGCUUAUCAGCUUCUCUCCAAAAGUUUGUUAUGUGUAUUAGAAUAUGUGCUCACGAGUUUUGUGAGUUUGUAACCUUGAAAAGAUUCUCACACUACUAUAAAUUGUAUUGUGACUCAAUUAAUAAAAGUUGUUGAAGCUUUGCAUUUUCUCUCAGUCAAAAUUUUCUCUCUAUUUUUCUAAGUAACCAAACAAAAUCUACAGAGCAUUUUGUAUUUUAACUUGGUAUCAGAGCUUGAAUCCAAUGGCCUUAAUCGGUUCCAAUCAACAGUCGAGCAACACUUCCAUAACUUCUUUCACCUUCACAAAUCCAAUUAAGCUUGAUCGUGCAAACUAUACGAUCUGGAAACAGCAAGUACUUUCUUCAAUUCGUGGCAAUGGUCUUGAAGGCUAUAUUGAUGGAUCAAGGAUCUGUCCUAGUCAAUUUCUUUCUCCAGAGGCUAGAUCUGAAGGUUCUUCUUCUUCUAACAUCGAAGGUCAAGAGAAUCCAGAGUAUGCAGCCUGGAGACGUCAAGAUCAGCUCCUGCUCAGCUGGAUUCUGUCGUCCAUGAAUGUAGAUAUUCUCAGUCUUGUGGUAAGCUCUAAGACUUCUUUUGAGUUGUGGAAAAAUCUAGAAAAACAAUUUGGAUAUGAAUUUAUGGCUAAGAAGGUUCAUCUGAAAAUGCUUUUGAGUAACCUGCGAAAAGGAUCUCUAACCAUGUCUGAGUAUUUUACAAAGCUUAAGUCAGUUACAGAUGGUCUUGCUUUAGUUGGUAGCCCUGUGCAUGAUUUGGAUUUAAUCACUCAUCUUAUUACUGGUCUAGAUCAGUCAUAUUAUCCUGUAGUAGUCUAUAUUGAGGCAAACAUGUUGAAAAUGGAUCUUAGUGAGGCUUAUGCUAUGCUUCUCACACAUGAGGCUAGACUUGAGAAUAAUAAGCUUCAUGAUAGUAAAGAAACCAAGAACAAUUAUGCAACAAAUGUAGCUCAGGUUGGAAAUUUUUCAAAGAAAGGUAAUAACAAUAAUCAAAACAACUGGAAGGAUGGAGGAAACAAUUGGAAUAAUAACUCUGGUGGAAGAGGUGGUUACCAAGGGUUCAAUCCAGGAAGAGGAAACUGGAAUAAUAAUAAUUUCAGAGGUGUUGCUGGUGGAUUUAACAGUGGAUUUCCUGGUCUCGUGGCUUCAAUAACAAUUAUGGCAGAGGUGGUUUCAACUCAGGCCAAAAUUUGGUGGUUGUUGAAGCCAACAAAAAUAAAUUCCUACUCUAAAUAAAUUGUGUAUAGUGAUUGAGCAGGGUCGUGUCCACAGAGAUCGGUAAUUAUUUAAAUCCUUUUGAAACGUAAAACGCAAAAUGGGGGAAUUGUUGACAAUAAUAAAAAUCAAAUUAAAGUAACAAGAAUGCAAAUUAAAGUUGUAAUUCAAAUUGGAGAAAGCUCUGGUUGAAGGAAUUAACUCAGCUUGAUUCGACUACUGAUCAUUGAUUCAAAUAUAGAUUAUUAUUACUCAUGAAUAGACCGGUUAUAGCUACUGAGACCCUCUAAUAGCCAAUCUCUCCUUAACUAGUCGAUAACCAAGGUACGACCGUUGGUUAUUUCCCUAAUCAAUAGACAACCCUAGAUACGAUCAUAGAAUUUAAUCAAUUGACAGCCUGAAAAACCAGAGAGACCCAAAUCCUAAUCAACACAUAUGAUGAUUCAUUUAAAUUAGAUUGUUUAUUCUCACAACACAACUCUCUGCUAUGUUAUUUGUCACAAGCAUUAAAUUCUUCAUACGAUGAAUCCUUUAAUUGACAAUAGAUUAAGUUGAUAAUUAAAUAGUGGCCAAUUACCUAAUUAACAAACAUAAUCAUGAAACUAAUUCAGAGAAUAAACAAAUACCCAAAAAGCAAUAAAACAAUUAAAGCACAAGAAAGAUCUCAUAGUAGUGAUGAAUCAAAGCUUCAUUAACCUUCAACCAGAAAAAUAAGUUUAGUUCUUCAUAGAGAGAAGAGAAAAAUUAAAUCUAGGGUUUCUUUCUUUUUUUUUUUUCCAAUCCAAAAAAUCCCCCUUUUUCACAAUAGAUUCCUCCCUUAAAUACUCUCUCUCUCUUCUCCUCUAGAAUUUUAUUUAAAAUAAAAUACUAAUAUCUGAAAUAUUAAAUUCGUAAUUACAAAAAUAACCAAAAAUACAAAACACGUUAAACUAAAAACUGCAGGUCCGCAGUUGACAGCACGCGCCCACGCCUUAUCAAUAAAGUUCUUCUGACGCUCAUAAUUUCUCCAAGAGAACAAUCAUCCUUAAACAUCAUCUUAUAGCUCAAUUUUAUCACCAACCAAUAGAAUUGCACCUACAAAAGUAAAUCACUAUUAUUAAGUGCAAAACAUCGAUAUUAAAAGAAGUAAACAAUGCAAAACUAGUGCAUAAAUUGCACUCUAACAGAGGUGCUGGAAAGAAUUUUGCUCAGGGAACUGGUGCUGCUUGUCAGAUAUGCUUCAGGUUUAAUCACACAGCAGCUGAUUGCAGAAACAGGUUCAACAGAAAUUUUAUCCCAAAUUUUCCAGCUCCAGCUCCAAAUUACUUCUCUAAUCAGCACCAAGGACCAAGAGCAGCCUUCAUAACAACAUCUGAAGGAGCUGCUGAUCAGGGAUGGUUUCUGGAUAGUGGUGCAACUCACCACUUAACCAACACAGUUCAGAAUCUGAGUGAUGGUAAGAUCUAUUUUGACUCAAACUUACUUACUGUUGGUAAUGGCCAAGGUUUUAGAAUUACUCACAUAGGUUAUACACAACUUCACACUUCUUUUGGCACCUGCUUACAACUACAGAAUAUUUUGUGUGUUCCUCAAAUUACCAAGAACCUCAUUAGUAUUUCCAAACUCCUCACUGAUAAUGAUAUAAUCAUUGAAUUUUUCUCUGAUGUUUGCUUUCUAAAGGACAAGGUGAAGGGCACUCUGUUGGCUUAGGGGAUUGCUAGAGAUGGCCUAUACAAGCUACUGUCAAAAAAGGAAUCUCUCUCUUCUUCCACUUCUGUUCUGCCAGUGUCUCAUCCUAGUUCUAUGAUGUCAACUCUUUCCUGCAAUAAUGUAAUUACUUCUGUUCAAAGUUCAAAUAAUGACUUCUGUUUUAAGUUUACAUUUCCUGUAAGCUUUCAAACUUCAAUUUCUGUGUCAGCAAAUAUAUUGCACAAUAGACUUGGUCAUCCAAGUAAGCAUGUCAUACAAACUAUUCUCAGAAACAAUUGUUUAAUGUCAGCCAAUGUUAAUAAAUCAAAUUUUCUUUUCUGUGAUGCCUGUCAACUUGGAAAGUUACAUCAAUUACACUUUCCCGCUACUAAAAUCAAAACAAAAUAUCCCUUAGAAUUAAUACACACAUACUUAUGGGGACCAGCUCCAGUUUUAUCACUAGAUGGUUAUAGAUACUAUAUUUCCUUUGUUGAUGACUUCACCCGAUAUUGUUGGAUCUUUCCCUUAGUUUUAAAAUCUGAUGCCCUUACUACUUUCAAAAACUUCAAGAGCUUAGUUGAGAAACAAUUCAAUCUGCCCAUCAGAAUUUUACAGUCUGAUAUGGGAGGUGAAUUCAAAGCUUUUCAGUCAUUUCUUCAACAAUAAGGUAUCCAAGCUAGAUUUAGUUGUCCCUAUACUCACCAUCAAAAUGGUGUUGUUGAGAGAAAACAUAGACACUUAGUAGAAACUGGAUUAACACUCCUUGCUCAAGCAAAAAUGCCUAUUUCUUUCUGGUGGGAGGCUUUCCAUACAACCUCUUAUCUCAUUAAUAGAAUGCCUACCACUACACUGAACAACUUAUCUCCCUAUCAAAAGCUUCAUAAUCAGCCACCAAACUAUCAACUUCUCAGAGUUUUUGGUUGUGCUUGCUAUCCUUUUCCCAGGCCUUAUAAUGACCACAAGCUUGAUUUUCAUUCCCAAAAAUGCUUGUUUUUAGGUUACAGCCCUCUUCACAAAGGAUAUAAGUGUCUAACAAAGUCAAGCAAAGUAUAUGUUGCUGUUCAUAUUAUUUUUAAUGAGUCUGAUUUUCCCUAUUCAGAGUUGUUCGCUUCAUCUGAAUCUUCUUCCAAUUCUCUGUCAUCAUACUCUCCAUCUAUUUGUAUCCUCAAUGACAGUGGCUUGCAUCAGUCAUCAGCUAUAUCUCCUGCUUUAGCAGAGUUACCAACUCACAUUCACCUCAACAUCCUCACCAAGCCCCACACUCUCCUUGUCCCUCUCCAGUCUCAAAUUCCUACGGCUCAUCAUCACCACAUUCUUCAUCACAUAAUGCUUUAGCCAAUCCCUCUGAUGAAUUACAACCAUCAUCUCAACCUGUCAUUUCAACUCAUCAGAUGGUUACUCGAGCCAAAUCUAGUAUUUUUAAACCAAAGACCUACCUUACAGCUACCGAAGACCUUGAACCAGUGAGUGUUAAAGCAGCCCUGAUUGAUACAAAGUGGAAAAUGGCUAUGCAAGAAGAGUAUAAUGCUUUGCAGAAGAAUGACACCUGGACAUUAGUUCCAGCUGAAACCGCUACAAAACUCGUUGGAAAUAAGUGGGUUUUUAGAGUUAAAUAUAACCCAGAUGGUAGCAUUUCCAAGUAUAAGGCUCGGUUGGUUGCAAAAGGUUUUCAUCAAACUUAUGGAGUAGAUUUCUUUGAAACCUUUAGUCUAGUUGUUAAACCCUACACUGUUCGUAUUGUUCUCAGCUUAGCAGUCAUGCAUUGUUGGCCAGUUCGGCAAUUGGAUGUUAACAAUGCCUUUCUUAAUGGCAUGCUUACUGAAAAUGUGUUUAUGCCUCAGCCAGAAGGCUUUAUCAGCUCUCAGUUUCUCAAUCAUGUCUGCAAAUUACAAAAAGCCAUUUAUGGUCUUAAGCAGGCUCCAAGGGCUUUGUAUGAUAGAUUGAAAGGGUCUUUAGUUCGGUGGGGUUUCAGAUCUUCAAAGUCAGAUACUUCACUGUUUUUCAAGCAUAUUGGCAAUAAUGUUCUCAUCAUCCUUGUUUAUGUAGAUGAUAUCCUGAUAACAGGCUCUAGUGCUGUUUAUAUUUCAGAGGUUAUCAGUCUACUUAGCUCAGAAUUUGCACUUAAAGAUUUAGGAGAUUUUAACUACUUUCUUGGGGUAGAAGUGACUCCAUCUGCUGAAGGAUUACAUCUAUCUCAAACUAAGUAUGUUGGUGACAUCUUAAGAAAAGCUCAUAUGCUUGAGAGUAAAGGCUGCAAUACACCUAUCAGUAUUGUUGAUAAGUUGCAGAAGGACAAAGGUUGCUCAUUUACAAAUCCCUCACUUUACAAAAGCAUCAUUGGUUCUCUGCAGUAUCUGACACUGACCAGACCAGAUAUCGCAUUCACUGUAAACAAAUUGAGUCAGUUUUUAGCUGCUCCAACUAUCUUGCAUUGGCAGGCUUGCAAGAGGGUAUUACGAUAUCUACAAAGCACAACACAUUUUGGACUGCAGUUCUUCAAGUCAGGUCCUCCAAGUCUCAUAGCAUAUUCUGAUGCAGAUUGGGGGUCUGAUCCAGAUGAUAGAAGAUCUGUUGGAGGGUAUUGUGUUUAUCUUGGAUCCAAUCUUGUGUCUUGGUCAUCUAAGAAACAGAACAUUGUUUCCAGGUCAUCUGCUGAAUCUGAGUAUAGAGCUUUGGCCUUAGCUACAUCUGAGGUUUUGUGGAUUACAUAUCUGUUGAAAGAGCUCAAAGUAUCACUUCCCAAACCUCUUGUUCUUUACUGUGACAACAACAGUGCAGAAGCUUUGGCUAGCAAUCCUAAGUAUCAUUCCAGAACUAAACAUAUAGAACUGGAUUUACAUUUUGUCAGAGAACACAUUGCCAACAAGGAUCUCUUCAUUGAACAUGUGUCUAGUUCUGAUAAGUUAGCUGAUGUGCUUACCAAACCUCUGAGUUUUGAUAAUUUUGCCUAUAUGCGAACUAAGCUCAAUGUCUGCCCACGACCUUGAGCUUACGGGGGCAUGUUAAGAAUAACAUAUGCUGAGUCAGCUGCUGAGUCAUCAAGCCACGCUGGAAGUCAGUUUUGCAGUUAGUUAGAGAGCUUAUCAGCUUCUCUCCAAAAGUUUGUUAUGUGUAUUAGAAUCUGUGCUCAUGAGUUUUGUGAGUUUGUAACCUUGAAAAGAUUCUCACACUACUAUAAAUUGUAUUGUGACUCAAUUAAUAAAAGUUGUUGAAGCGUUGCAUUUUCUCUCAGUCAAAAUUUUCUCUCUGUUUUUCUAAGUAACCAAACAAAAUCUACAGAGCAUUUUGUAUUUUAACUAUAUCUACACACUUAUAACACAAGUUUGUCACCACUAAAAUAUAAACAUGUUCUGUAAAUGCCUCUAAGAUAUCUGAGAAUUCAUUUCACUACUGUCCAGUGCUCUUUGUCCAGAUUGGAGAGAAACCGACUGACUACACUAACUGCGUAAACAAUACCUGGUCUUGUACAAAUCACGGCGUACACCAAACUGCCAACUGCUGAAGCAUAAGGAACUCCUCUCACGGAGAAAUGGGUUUUGCUCUUGAGAUCUUUGGGAACAUGAAGAAUAAAGAUGUAAUUUCUUGGACUGACAUUGUUUCGGGGUAUAUAAAUAGAGGACAAGUGGAUAUAGCUCGACAGUAUUUUGCUCAGAUACCAGAACGAGAUUAUGUCUUAUAGACUGCCAUGAUUGAUGGGUACCUUCGAGUGAAUAGGUUCAGAGAGGCUUUGACACUUUUCCGGGAGAUGCAAACUUCAAAUAUAAGGCCAGACGAGUUUACCAUUGUUAGGAUUCUUACAGUUUGUGCGAAUCUGGGGGCACUAGAACCGGGAGAAUGGAUAAAGACUUACAUUGACAAAAACAAGGUCAAGAAUGAUAUAUUUGUGGGGAAUGCUUUGAUAGACAUGUACUGUAAAUGCGGAGAUGUUGAGAAAGCUCAAAGGGUACUCAGGAAGAUGCUUCGAAAGGACAAAUUCACAUGGACGGCCAUGAUUGUUGGCCUUGCCAUCAGUGACCCAUUUCCUACGAUCAGACCGGAUAAGGUAACUUAUGUUGGUGUUCUGUCUGCCUGUACUCACAAUGGUAACGAAACUUUUGUGAUAAAUAGUUGCGACUUAAGGUGAGAAUUGGAGGAAACGAAAUAGACUGAAGUUGUUCAAUCAUCGGUGGUUGCUAUUUGAUUUUAAGUUGUUCAAUCAUCGGUCAUCUCUAUUUGGUUUUCUCCAAUAUCUCAUCUCCAGUUUUGACUCAGAUUCUGUCUUACCACUAGUAAUUAAAAGUGAGGAGGCAGCAGUCAAUGCUAUUUCGGCUUGGCCCAAAAUUUCACCAGUUUGUUAGUGUUCUGCAGCUCUUGCUGCUUUCCUAGAGAUUCUGCAUCUUUUGCAAUUUGAUUGAUUAAAAAAAAAAAAAUUAGUGGCCAUUUAGAAUGAAGGAGAGAUUUGUGUGAAUGGUAUAGGUGAAAAAUUGGAUGAAAAUAAACAGGCAACCGUCCGUAUAAAACAACAAUAACAAUAUACAAAAAGAUAAGUAGACACUUCUGUAAUUCACGAAAGGAAAUUUAUGGUUGUUUCUGAAAAACAUACAUAUUAAUUUCACUUAUACUCUAAGGUGGGAUAGAUGUCAACUAGCUAUGCUAAUGAUACCUUGCCAUCAUGACUGGACUUGUGAGGAAUUUGGAAACAUGUAUGAUGAUUGUUACUUACACAAUUGUAGAAAGAAAUGCUGAGGUGGCUUGAACCAGAUGGUGAAAUCGUCUAACACACUUAAUUGUUAGAUGUGUUUUGGAUAUUCACAGUUAGGUUGAAAUUUGUAGUUUUCACUUGAAAGAAUUCAGUUAAAAAUUGAUUGGUAGAAUUGUAAAAUAGUCUAAAUUUUUAGUUCAAACCCAUUGCAUAUUUAAGAACAUCUUAAAUGAAUUGCUUAUUGCUAUCAUCAUCAUUAUUGUCCAUAUAAUAAUAAUAAUAAUAAUAAUAAUAAUAAUAAUAAUAAUAAUAAUCAAUAGAAAUGUUAUCUUAUCCACUAUUUUAUAUAUGUUUCCACUAAAAUCUAUUUAAUUAUUCUUUAUUUUUUUUCAACUGUUGCAUGUUAGAUUUAUUCGAUUUCCUAAGUUAUAUCAAUAGAAAUGUUAUCUUAUCCAUAAAAAGUUAGAUCUAACAAUUAUGAAAAUUACUAUAGUGCUGCUUUGAAUAAUUUUUUAAAAAUACCACAAGUAAAUAAUAAUUAGUUUAAAUAGUGGAGACUAAAAAGCAUUCACCCUUAUUUUUUAUCUGUUAUUAGUUUUUUUUAAUCUGUUAUACAUUUGAAACAUUCCAUUAAUUGCCAAUUAUGUAAGCGAGAUAGUAAUUAAUUUUUUUUAUUUAAAAAAAGUGAAAAUUAAUCCUAUGCAAUGUGAAUAAAUUUCUUUCCUUUUUCCUUCACUCUUUUUAUUUGAUAAUUAAGUUUCAAUCUAUGUACGCAAAAUUUCUGCAACAGCUGCAAAACAUAAAAAUAUAUGAUUGUUAAGGGAAACACGCAGAAGUUCAUCACUUCAAUGUUCAGUAUUUCCAAUUUUGGCAUUAAGCUCUUACGAAUAUAUUCCACUUAGAAAGCAAAAUAUUAGAAUUGUGAUUUUAAUUCAUUCAUCAUAUCUCAUUUCAAUCCCAAAAUAUUCAAGUGGAUCCAAGUUACCAUAAGGCUUCAGAGGCUCGAGCCUUAGCCAGAGAUGGUUAAUUGAUAGACUAGGUAAGAGAAACCAAGGUUGAAGUAUGUAGAAAUGUUAUUUCAUUUAUUUUUAUUUAUGAUUUUUUGUAAAAUGUAAGAAAUAUGUAGAAAUGUUGCCAGCAAUGAUUUUGGAACUUUGCAUAAAAUUUUUAUCAUUAUUGUUUUUGGUAUUAAGAAAUCCGAGGCGGUGAUUAGACGUAUGUUGCAACAAUUAAGAAAUUUCUUAUUGGAGAUAAUUUGGUAGGUUGCAACAAUUAGAGAAUCAUUUUCCUGUCAGUUAAUCAAUCAAUAAUAAAUUUCAAAUUGCAGAAAAUAAAAUAAUACUGUCGCACUUAGAAUCAUCUUUUCUAUCUCUUUCAAUUGUGACAAUCAUUUGUAACAAAUAAAUCAAUUUGAUGCACAUCAUUUCCCCAAUUCAAAGUUCAAGUCACUGCUCAAUUGCAGAGUAGUUAGUAGACAUGCAUGCAUGUUUAAUUAAGUACUGCAUUGUAGUAUCGAAAAUCAUAACAUCUCACCAAGCCCGGAAGCAUAGCUCUUUAUCUUGUAAAUGUUGAAAUCUUAUGCAAACUAUGGGAACCAUGAGCUCACUCUCAGUGUCACUUGAUUCCAUUUUCUGUUCUUGCCUUGAUUUCGAUGUUGGGAAUGUGACGUCUGAGUCUAAGGUUGAAGAUAAUCUCGAUGCCUUGCGGACUGCAAUGGAAAUAAAAUAUUUGUGUGUUGAGAAAUGAUGAAAUGAUGCAAUGGAAAUAAAAUCUCAAUCUCUUGAGAAAUGAUGUGAUAAGAAGAGUUACUGUUGCUGAAGGACAACAUCAAAUGCAACGAAUGGAUCGAGUGCAGGGCUGGCUUUCAAGGGUAAAAUCUGUGGAAAAUAAAGCUGAUGAUUUGAUGAGACACAGCUCUCAAGAGAUUGAGAAGUUAUGCCUUGGAGGCUUCUGUUCCAGGAACUGCAAAUGAAGCUACAGCCGUGGGAUAGAAUUUGCAACAAUGCUACGAUUGUGGAGAGUUUAAUGGGUGAAGGAUCAUUUGAAUAGGUGGCUGAGAGGGUGCCAGAAGAUGCAGCAGAGGAGAUAAAUUGUGAGCCAACAAUAGUGGGCAUGUUGUCGACUUUUGAGAAAGCCUGGAGAUGCCUUGAAGAAGAAUCAGUUGGAAUUAUUGGCCUAUAUGUCAAUGGGGGAGUUGGAAAAUAUUUACUCAAAUCAACAACAAGUUCCUUGAUAGUCCAAAUAAUUUUGAUGUUGCGAUCUGGGUAAUGGUCUGCCAAGAUUUGCAACCCCAGAAGUUUCGGGAAAAGAUUGGGAAAAAGAAAGUCUUGUUCGAUGAGUACCGGAUUGAACUAUAUUAGAUUAUAUUUAAAUAAUAUUAAAUAGUAUUUAAGUUGGUAUUCUAAUAUAAAUAUCAAUUAUCCAUGAAAUUUUAUAAUCAUAAUUAAAAUAAAUUUAAAAAGCAAUUACUAGGAAAAUUAAAUAUAUUGCAAAAAGUUAUUGGGUAGUCAUAAUAUAAUAGGCAAAUAAAAUUAAAUAAAACAAAUUACAUAUUUAAUUAUAUUUAUCAAAUAUUUAAAAAUAUUAUAUAAAAUAUUAUAUAAAAUCAAUUAAUUAAUGAUAUUAUUAAUUUUCAUGAUUAUUUUUAAUAUUAUAUUACUGAUUAUUAAAUUUAAUACAAUCAAAUAAUGCAAUAAAUAAUUAAACAUUCAAUUUUAUUGAUUAAUUAUUAAAUAUACAAGUAAUGAAAAUUUUAUCUCAAGAGUUGGUAGAAGCGAAAGUACUAAUUUAAUUAGAUCAUAGAUAAUAAAUAAAAAUAAAUUUUAAGUAAAUCAUAAUAAAAAAUUAAUUAAUUAAUUCAAUCAAUCAAUAUUAGGUGUAAAUAAAAAAAUGAUAUAAAUAAAAAUCUCAUAAAUGUACAACUUUUAUCUUUAAUCUUAUCCUAAAAGAACAAAAAGCAGAAUAUAUAUUGAAGUGUUUUUCACACCUUUUCAUUAACUGGAAUGCAUGUAUUUAUAUACAUCAUUUGUAACUAAUAAAGAGAAAAUAAAGGAAACUAUACAUGAGAGUAUCAAGGAGAAUAAUGGAAGAGAUUGUUGUCCGUAACUUGUGGAGAGUAUCAUGGAGCUUGAGAUUAUCUGAUAUGCCCCCGCAAGAGGGUGUUGCCAUUGGCGACACCCAUCUUGAACCUUAAUUCAGAAAAUGGUCGCUUAGAGAGGGGCUUGGUUAGGCUAUCAGCAAGUUGAUCUGCUGUAGAUACAUAAGAUACGCGCAAUAGCCCUUUGUUGACCCAAUCACGAACAAAAUGAUAAGCAAGAUCAAUGUGUUUUACCCUUGAAUGAAAGACUGGAUUGCGACACAAAUAGGUAGUUCCAAUAUUAUCACAAUAGAUGGUAGGAGUUUGACUCAAUUGAAGGCCAAGUUCUUGAAGUAGAUUCUGAACCCAUCGAACUUCAGAGGCUGCAUUUGCGACAGCCAAGUACUCAGCUUCUGUUGUGGAACGAGCUAUUGAUUUUUGUUUGUUCGAGCGCCAUGAGAUAGGAUUGCCGCCUAGAUAAAGCAUAUAGGCUGAUGUAGAAGUAAUGAAAAUUUAAUCUCAAGAGUUGGUAGAAGCGAAAGUACUAAUUUAAUUAGAUCAUAGAUAAUAAAUAAAAAUAAAUUUUAAGUAAAUCAUAAUAAAAAAAUUAAUUAAUUGAUUCAUCAAUCAAUAUUAGGUGUAAAUAAAAAAAAUGAUACAAAUAAAAAUCUCAUAAAUGGACAACUUUUAUUUUUAAUCUUAUCCCAACUAAACACAUGUGUAAAUUAGGAUUAUUAAUUCCAUAAUUUUCGGAUUAAAUUCAAAUUUAUUCCCCCUUAAUCCAAUUCAACUAAACUUGUCAAACAUGGGAUAAAAAUUUAAUUAUAAAAUUAGUCCAAUUCCAUACUUAAUCCUAGCAUCCAAAUAUAGCUCAAGUUCUUUGCUUAAAGAAGCUACCAAAUUUGAAGAGCGUUUACGGGAAGGCCUUGCGUUUCCCAGAUGUAUGCAGAAUUUUUGUAUCUAAAUGCCCAGAACUUAAGAAGCUGACGCUGGAUUUUGAAAGGGCGGGCCAAGGUAAAAUUCUUAUCAAAUGAAAGGAAAAUCGAUGGAAACAACUUCAAUGGGAGGAUCAAGCAACUCAGGAUGCAUUGCUUCUGUUUUUCAAAUCAACUGACAAGUGAUUGAAGGGGGCAUCAUCAGCCUGGAUGGGGAGAUCCUGGAGCAGAUCAGCAGGGUUUGAAUCUGCAUCAUCAACAUCAUCAGGAUCUCUAUUUCUAUUGCUGGUCGUAAUGCCUGCCGACUGUUGCUUGAAAAAGUGAUUAAGUGAGCCAGUUUUUUGUUUAUUAAAUUUUGUUUUGUAGAGACAGUCACAAAGUAUUUUUCUUAGUUGUUCUAUAUGAGAGUGAUGUGAACCAAUUUUUCAAUUAUAUAUUCUGUGGGAAAUUGCAAGUAUUUUUAAAAUAUGAUCGUUAUUAAAGGAAACAAAGGAAUCAACACAGCAUACUGAACCUCAGCAGUAUGAAGCUAAUGAUUAAACUCCUCACACAAUUCAUAACAUGCAAAACCAUUCACAAAAUCAUCCACAGCAACCAUAAUUGGCGUCCAAUAGAAAUUUACAAGAAUUACUUUUCUGUUCAUGCAAUCGGCGUCUGAACGCGGCUGAUCGGUCACCGGUGUUGGCGUUUACUGUGAUUAGACAAAUUGUAGCACUUCAAAAAUAACUUCUAUAGGGGUAAUUUCGAUUUCACAUAAUUAAUUUUAUUUACAAUAUUUUAUUCCUGCAAGGUCAACUGAGAUUCUUUCCACCGGGCACACCCUUCAUGUUCUUUUAUUUUCUGUCUUUUAUUAGCCGUUGGAUUUUACUACUCUUAUAUCCAACGGCUUGCCACAACAAGACAAAUGAGGUGGUACCUUUCAACCGCUGAAAGGUAGUUUUGGCCCCAAGUGAAAGAGGGAAAUAGGGAAUUGAUGCUAUAUUUUAUAUUUUCUAUUUUACUACUCUUGUAUCCACCGGCCUUUCUUAUAUUUUAUUGCAAAUUGAUGCUAACAAGAAAAAGCUAGAUCAUAUUCCACAGAAAAGUGAGAAAACAACCAGAUGGAUUCUUUUAUUAAACUACAAAUUAAAAUGGUAUCACAAAUUCUCAUCAAUUUAUUUAAAUAUAUUCUUUUAACCCUCUUUUUAAUUUCACAAAUUCUCAUCAAUUUAUUUAAAUAUAUUCUUUUAACCGGAAACAAUUGAUAUCACUUAUUAAGAAUAACAAAAUUUACUAUUUAAAAAUGAAGAUCAAUAAAUUUUUAUCAAUCAUGAAAGUUAAUGAGUGUCAAGAAAUUAAUUUUUGCUAAACAUACAAGCUAAUAACUAUUAAAAAAAUCUUAUAUUAUAGAGAUCAUAUAUAUUAAGAAAGACCAAAAAAAAAAUUAAAAAAAUAGUUAAAUUCAGUGUAUAGUUUAUAGGAUGUGAGAGUGGUAAAAGAAUAUAUAAUUGUAAAAUAGAGAAAAAGAAAAAGAGAUUAGUAGAGAAUAAUUUUGAGAUUUUUUAAUUUUUAAUUUUUAAUAAUAAAUUUAUUUUAAAAAAUAGGUGUGGAGAAAAAUUUGAUGGGUUCAAGCAAUUCCACCUAAUUUUAUAUUAUCAAUACGCAAAUGAAAGUACAAAAAUACCUCUAAUAGAGUGAAAUAAAGAGUUCUCUAAUCUCUAGGGUUUCUCAUUCCAAUUUUGAAAUUUCCCUACUUUAUUUUGAAUUAACCCUCUUUGUUACCAUUGAAUUGUAACAUUCAAAAUUUGAAUAUGUUUUUACAAAUAGAAGAUUAUUGGGACAAAAACAAUAAGAAAUAGAAAACCUAGUUGAAAAAGGAUAUUACAAAAAAAGAAAUUGCCAUUACCAUUCAAACAUUUACACAGUAAAGGCAUUAACAGCAUAAGGCGGCAAUAAAACUUACUCAUAAUUAGGGGUGGCAAAAAAGUCCGAGCCGGCUUAGGCCCGGCCAAGCCCAGUCUAGAUCCGUGGACUUAAAGUCCGACCCGUAAGGAUGUGGGCUUAGAUAUAGACCUAAAAAUUACAAAACCCACAUAUAUUAGACCUAAACAAGAACUUAGCAAAAAAACCCAAACUUUCUAAAUUUAUGAAUAAAAAAUAAAUUUAAUUUAAAUAAAAAAAAUUAAAAUAUUAAAUUAAUUGAAUUUUUUAUAUUAAUAUUUAUUAUUUUAUUAAAUUAUAUUGUUAAUAUUUAAUGUAUUUGACUAUUAUUCUAUUUAUAUAUUAUAUUAUUAUUUUUAAUUUAAAUAUUUUUCUUAAUUUAAAAAAUUUUUAUAAUUAAUUUAAAAAGUUCAGGCCCAGCCCGAGUUCGGUCCAUCCAAAUUUAACGGAUUUUUGAAGAACCUGAACUUCGUUUGAAUGAUAUGGGUCCGGCCCAAGCCCGCAAAUUGCCAUCCCGUGAUAAUAACAAACAGAUAUGGCCCAGCCCGAGUUCGGUCCAUCCAAAUUUAACGGAUUUUUGAAGAACCUGAACUUCGUUUGAAUGAUAUGGGUCCGGCCCAAGCCCGCAAAUUGCCAUCCCGUGAUAAUAACAAACAGAUAUAGAUAGAUCGAUGGAUGGCAUUUUUUAAAUGUACCUUAAAAACCAAAACAAAAGCAAAAAUAUUAAAAUAUUACACCAACUGCUAACUAAUUAAUCUAAUAAAACGCCUCGCUUAAUCAUUUCCAGUCCACUAAACACGCUGAACGGAUUCCAGCCUCUGAAGUCUCAUCUCAUUGUUAAAUUCAUUGAUGAAAGCUUCAACUCGCCGAUUCAACUCAUCUUGACUCAUCGAUUCCUCCCUCCUCAGCGACGUUCUGUCACUGAACGUCUCAGAUUUCCUCAGCUCACGUUUCGCCCAAGCCGUCGGAUCAUUCUCAUCAUUAUCACUACCACAGGCGAUGGUGAUGAUGUGGAAGGUGGAAGAAGCGGCGAUGGUGAUGAUGAUGAUGAUGAUGAUGAUGAUGAUGAAGUUGACUAUGAUGUAAUUGUACGGCGGCGACAGCCAGAACCUCAAAGAAAUGAAGAGGCUAGGGAUUGUCGAUACCGUGAAACAAAUGUACGGGAUUAUUGCUACCUUAAACAGCAUGAAAGUUGAAACAAACCCGGCUGACAAAAAUAACAACUUUGCUACCCGCGUUACUGUCUCUAAUCUGCUUGAUUUUGGGUCGAAAUUUUGAAAAAGAUCCCCCAUUUUUCAAUUUUCACACACAAUAAAGAAGGAAAAAGAAAGGUAGCUAGAUUUUUUUUUUGUUUUUCAACAAGGGAAGAAAUAAGAAAAGAACAUUAAAAGGAUUUUUCAGGCUUUGAUGGUCAUUAAAAUGAGACCCAGGAAACCAUUGAAGCUAAAAAAAAAACGAGAAGCCAUGUAUUUAUAUAUGCUGCUUUGCUUUACAAAAUCUGACUGGCAUCAGGGUGAAAAAAAAGUGCCAUUUGUUGGUACAGAGAGACAGAGGAGAGUAGAGAGGCAGAUGCAGGGGCAGGGGCGAAGUCAAGGGACCAUUGAAUGGGCAAGCGAGGUUUCAAUUUAUGUAACGAGGGACGAUUAAAGUUCUUGCAACUUUCCUGCCGUCUGAUGAAAUCUUGACCGUUCGAUGGUACAAUAAUGGUUAUAAUGAUCUUGAAAGUGUUGGAGAGAUAAGUUUGUACAGAUUAUGUACGCUAAAUAAAAUCACAUUUAAAAUGGUUUUUGAUUUUAUUCUAUUACAGAUUACUUUUAUUAAAUAAAUGAAGGUACAUUGAGUGAGUGAGUGAGUGACUUCACGAUUUUGCACUAACGCCGCUGUGUUAUCCUCCGCGGCACUUGUCCUCAUCAUUUGUAAUUGAAAAGCUGAUUUAAGAUUUUAGAAUAGUGCCUUUUGGAAAAAAAAUAUAUAUAUAUAUCAACGGCCGAUUGAGAUUUCUUUUUUGAAGAUUUAAAAUUAAUUUUUUAAAAAAUUAAAAAUUAAUUUUAAUAUUUUAUAAGUUUUAAAAAAAUUAUUUUUAAUAAAAUCACUUCAUAGUAGAUUCCGGAAAGUAGAUAUCUAUGCUUUUUAAAUUUUAAUUUUAAGAAUUAAUUUUUUACUUAAUAUAAUCCUUGCAUAUAUUAUAAAAUUUUAAAAUCAUCUUCAUUAAUUACAAAAUAAGAUCAUUAAUUUUAAGGAGAUUAUAAUCAUUAUCAAUUAUAGGGAGAUUAAAUGCUUAAAGUGACAAGUGCAAAACUAUUUAAAAAUAGUCAGUAAAAGUAUAGGUGGGCAAUUAGUUCAAUUCUAUUUGAAUCAACUAAAUUAAAUUAUAUCGUGUUUCAUAAAUUUUUAAAGCAACUGAUUUUUUGUUUGGUUUAGAUAAAAAUUAAACUAAACCGAAAAAUCAAACGGUUCAAAGAAAAAAAAGUUAAAAACAAAUUUUAUAAACUGAUCGGUUUCCGUUAGAUUCAAUUCCAAAUCUAAACAAACCAAUCCAAAGUGAAAAUAAACAUUUUUGUUGAAUGCACUUUUAAUUUGUUUGGAUACGUCUCGACCCUCCAGUCUCUUGAUUAAAGUUCAUUUAUUAGGGUCCGCUUGUAAUACAGCGUCUGUAUCUCAUACAGUCAAAUUUAAUAUUUUAUUAAGAAAAAGGGCAACCGUUAGAUAGAAGUAGAUACAUCCAAUGGUUAAUAUCUGUGAUUACUCAUUUUGGUGACCGGAUAUGCCAAUUAUUAUUUCAUCAAUUAACUUACCUAAAAAAUCAUAGCCGUUGGAUUGAGAUGCCUCUCUCUCCCUCAAAAUAACAGCCUUCGUAUUCUCUCUGCUAUUGUUUUGUCCUACAUCUAGAAUUUUGGAUGAAUGAACUUGGUAUUCAAGAACAUUCACCACCCAUCACAGCAAAGAGCAAAGAUAUAGUCGAAGGAGUGCCAUUUAUUCAGGCUUACUUGAUCUGUCAGUCUCGCUUCAAUUCGUCACUCAUUUUCUUGCGCUCAGCUUCAAUCUAUCACUCUCAGCUUCAGUUCGUCACUCAUAGCUUCAAUUUUUUCACUGUCGUGAAUCAUCUCUCUUGCUGUAUCUCUCUCUUAUGUCUUCCAAUAAUUUCGGUGAGCUCUCUCUCUAAUUUAAUAUAUGAUUAAAAAUCUUAUCAUCUUAUCAUGUCAUUUAAAUAUGCUUGAAGUUUCAAUUUAGUUUAUGAAUAUUACUUGAAAUUUUAGAUUCAAUAAUUUUAGUUUUUUUUUUCUCUAUCAUCAAUCAUAUAUUUUUUCUUGCUCUUUAACUUCUUAUCUUCAACUAAAUGUGACCUUACAUUUAUUUAGUGUAUGAUCAAUUUUUAAAUGCACAAUAAGCAUUGCAAAGUUGGCGUUAUGCAAAGGCUAUCACAAUGUGAGCGUUCAAUUGGACAGAGUGUCAUGAUCAUACAUCCUUGAACCCAAUAUUUAUUCCAAUAACAAAUGUAGAUACGUAAACUACUUUUUUUUUUUAAAUAAAAAUAAAAAACUUCAAUGAAUCAAUCAAUUAUUUUCUGAAAUGUUAUGCGAAUUGUGAUUGUGAGAUUAAAAAAAAAUAUCCAUGCAAAUCAAAUUGUAACCGCCCUCUCAAGAUAAACCAAGUAACACAAAGCAUCAUUAACUCUUUCUUGUUUCAGCCACAGUACUAUUUUUUGCUUGAUGAGAAUAUAUUUAAAUAGUAUUUAAGUUGGUAUUUUAAUAUAAAUAUCAAUUAUCCAUGAAAUUUUAUAAUCAUAAUUAAAAUAAAUUUAAAAAGCAAUUACUAGGAAAAUUAAAUAUAUUGCAAAAAGUCAUUGGGUAGUCAUAAUAUAAUAAGCAAAACAAAUUAAAUAUUUAAUUAUUUUUAUCAAAUAUUUAAAAAUAUUAUAUAAAAUCAAUUAAUUAAUGGUAUUAUUAAUUUUCAUGAUUAUUUUUAAUAUUAUAUUAGUGAUUAUUAAAUUUAAUACAAUCAAAUAAUGGAAUAAAUAAUUAAAUGUUUAAUUUUAUUGAUUAAUUAUUAAAUAUACAAGUAAUGAAAAUUUAAUCUCAAGAGUUGGUAGAAGCGAAAGUACUAAUUUAAUUAGAUUAUAGAUAAUAAAUAUAAAUAAAUUUUAGGUAAAUCAUAAUAAAAAAAUUAAUUAAUUGAUUCAAUCAAUCAAUAUUAGGUGUAAAUAAAAAAAUACAAAUAAAAAUCUCAUAAAUGUACAAUUUUUAUUUUUAAUUUUAUUCAAACUAAAUACAUGUGCAAAUUAAGAUUAUUACAUCCUUGAACCCAAUAUUUAUUCCAAUAACAAAUGUAGAUACGUAAACUACUGGGAAGCAGCACACGUGUCCUGAAGAGAGAAAAAAAUCGAGCAAAUGCAGACAAUGGGAGUUGGCUAAAAGUUGGAUCUGCAAUUUACAAAAUCUGUAACUUAUUAGCCAGCUCCCAAAUUGUGUAGUCUUUUUUCAAAUUGUACAGACAUUUAUAAAUUGGUGGCCCCUUGAAAAUUUAAUGCCAAGCAGAUAAAAGUCAUCAAGCACAGUCCUCAAUAGUUGUUUCGUGUAUAUUUAUAAAUUGGUGGCCCCUACAUCUUUAAUAAUUGGGAUUGAAUUACGGUAUAAUUGUAGAAUCAUGUCUCAAUUACAUUCAAUUGUUAGAUAUAUUUACGUUGGUAAAAUUUACUGAUAUCUAAUAAUUAAACGUAACUAUAACACAAUAUUAUAAUUACACCACAAAUUUUCUCUAAUAAUUAUUCCGAUACUUAUAAAUUGGUGGCCCCUUAGUAAUUUAACAGCAGCCUGCAAGUGUCAACUAAUGAAAAGUCAUCAUUCACAAUCUUCCAAGUGAAACAGGAAAUAUACAAAAAUUAAAACAUGUCAUUCUUUUUUUUUCAUUCCCUGUCAUGUAACUUACACCCAAAUACAUAAAUAAUAUAAAAUGAAUGGAGAGAUGCCAGGAGCAGAUCAGCAGGGUUUGAAUAUGACCUUUGGCGCUUGCUUUUUUUUUUUUUUGUGAUUUUUUUUUCAUUUUUUCCUUCCUGUCAUUUUAUCAUUUCUUUGGCUUUGUCUCUAUUGCGGGUGUUACUGCAUGCUUACUGUUUCUUGACAAAGUUUGCUAGCUUUUCCUUUUGUUUAUUAAAUAUUUUUAUCGUCACAAAGUAUUACUCGUUCUAUUUGACAGUGAUGUAAAUUAAUUUUUCAAUUUUAUAUUUUAUCGUCGAUGUGAAUUCAAUUUCAUUUGUCAUCAUGCACAAUCCUCAAUAAUUGUUUCGAUAUUUAUAAAUUGGUGGCCCCUACGUCCUCAAUAAUUGUUCCGAUACUUAUAAAUUGGUGGCCCCUUAAUAAUUGGUGUUUGAGGAAUUAAAUAGAGCGAUCAUGAUCUUUUCCAAAUGAAAGUGAGCAAAUGGUUGAGCAGGUCACCUUGAUCAGGUGGUAUGAGUUUGAUCAAAUCACCUCGACCAGGUACAAUGAGGUUGAGCAGAUCAUCUUGAUCAGGUGGUGUGAGCUUGAGCAGAUGACCAUGUGGUAUGAGCUUGAGCAAAUCACAUCGACUAGGUGCUAUGAGGUGGAGCAGAUCACCUCGACUAGGUACUAUGAGGUGGAGCAGAUCACCUCGACCAGGUGCUAUGAGCUCGAGCAGAUCACUUCGACCAUGUGCUAUGAGCUUGACCAGAUCACCUCGACCAGGUGGUCUAAACUUGAGCAGAUCACCUCGGCCAAGUGAUGACUAGGAAUAAAGACUCAGUUAAAAUAAACCACCACAAAGCUCCUCCGAAAAAUCAGGGCACGAAUCUGAUUAAUCAAUGGUUAUUGUCACGAUCUAAGGUCGUGGGUGUGGGGUGUUUUAUAAAAAUCCCGAGAAAAUCACACCAAGGGAAGGCUCUUUUUCUCUGGAUCUGACGGAGAAAUCCUUUCUGGAUACUCUAUUUUACUUUUCUGCAAAUUAUUCAAAAAGCUUUUGGUUUUAAAAUAAUGUUUAUUUAGCCAUAUGAAAAAUGACAUAUUUGGUUUUUCCUGUAAACCCCAUAACUGACUUGAGCGUUGGAGGGUUUACGCCAGAAAAACUUCCGGCACCUCUGACCAUUCUCUGUAAUUUCAGGUACUUAUUGAUCGUCAGCUUGAAGAUUAUAUGCUCAUGAAUGUUCUGCUCAUAGUCAGAGAAUAUUCUGACUAUAUUAGCCAUGACAUUUUAGUAAUUUCAGGUACUAAAAAAAAAUUAAAAUUGUUGGCGUGAAAAGCACAAAUCCUAUUUUUUGACAAUUUUAUCUUUGUCAAUUUCAAAGAUUUACAAUAUCAUAGGUAAAGAUUAUAACUAUUUCAUCUUCAAGUUUUUAAUUUUAUAUUUUUUGUAGGAACUUUAAGAAAAUAUCAAUAAUUUAAAGAGAAUUUUUGAAAUUUUUAAUUUUAUCUUUCUUGUAGGAAUUUUAAGAAAAUAUCAAUAAUUUAAAGAAGGUAAAAUAACCAAUAAUUUUAUUUUUUUUUUAGUUAUUUCCGUUUAAAAACUGUUCUUUUAUUAGCCGUUGGAUUUUACUACUCUUAUAUCCAACGGCUUGCCACAACAAGACAAAUGAGGUGGCACCUUCCAACAGCUGAAAGGUCGUUUUGGCCCCAAGUGAAACAGGGGAUGCACUUACUAUUAAGGACAGUUGGUGGCCAGCUAAUGCACUCAUUUUAUGUCCUUUUAUCUUUUUGAAUUCCUGAAGACAAGUGCAUUCAUUUUGUGUCCUUUCAUCUUUUUGAAUUACUGAAGACAAGUGGCCAGCUAAUGCAUUCAUUUUUUGUCCUUUCGUCUUUUUGAAUUAUUGAAGACAAGUGGCUCAUCGCUUUUACUGUAGGUAAGAUCUUGAUAAUCUCGAUUAUCAAAAUAAUAAUAUUCAAAAUAUUUCUUAAUUUUAUUUAAAAGAUAAAAGAAAAAUAAGUUAUGCUGGUAAAUUUUUUUAUUUUUUUAAUAAAAAUAAAAUAAAUUGAUGUUUAUAAUUGUUUCAAAUACUUUAAAGAUUGUAAUUUUAUGAGAGAGUAAUAUUUCACAUUUUUAAUGUGAAAAGUUGAAAAGGGACAAAGCAAGUUUCUCUGUUUUUCUUUUUCUUUUUUUAAAUUUGGUCAUCUCAAAUACUUCACCCUUCAACACUACAAUAUUUUGGUUAUAUAUAUAUAUAUAUAUAUAUAUAUAUAUAUUUUACACAUGCAUAUGAAUUACUUUUCUUUUAAGCUCCUGAAUAUUUAAGACAAAUCAUGAAAGAGAUGAGAAUAUAAUAAGAUGAUCAAAAUAUGUAACAAAAUUUUUUUAGAAGUGAAACAUCGUUAGAGUUGAAGUAAAACUCUGAAAAUAGAGAUACUGAUUAAUUUAGAAGAGAUGCAAGCAAAAGAUAUGCCAAAAAAAAAAAAAAGCAAUAUGUCACUUUGGAGGGCAAACUUGUCAGUUUCACAAAAAUACAUGCUUUGUAUUGAUAGUUGUCACUAUGUAUUAGGGUGCGUUUGAAAUUAUAGUGCUGUACCUUUUAAACUACAGUUGUUGUAGAAAAAAAUAAAAAAUAAAAACUACACCUAAGAUUAAGGAAAAGUACUUCAAAACUCUCUUUUGAUCAUAAAACCUUUUGUCUUAAUUAACUUAAAGAUUUUGAAUCUAAUAUUUUAUAACAAAUAAAAAUAUAUUACCAAAAUAAAUAUAAUAAUAUCUAUUUUAAAAUAAUAUCAAUAUUUAAAAUAUGUUUUAAUAUUUGACGAUCUAUUAGACACAUUUUAUUAUGUUAAAGUAAAUUUUAUAAUAAAUACAAACAUACUAAUAAAAUGAAUAUAUACAACAUUUAGAGUAUUUUGAAUAUUAUAUAAAAUAAAUUUAAUACAAUGCAUGAGAUAUAUUUUAUUAAUUUAAAAUGCUAUUUAACCUAAAGAUUUAUUUAUGAAAAAUUAAUGAUUAUAUUUUUGAAAUUAUUUAAAAUAUUAAAAAAAUUAAUAUUAUUAAUCUAUCAGGUAGAUUAAAUUAUUUAUAUUAUUUUGCAUUUAUUAAAAAAUUUUAAAAUCAAUCUUUUUAAUUACUAUUCUAAGGAUAUAAUAAUAGAGGCAACUCCGUUGCGUCAUGGUUUUGGUACCCCGUCGUUUGUCUUUUAGCACAGUCAUCGUUGGAUUUUAUCUCACGGCUGCAGAAGAGACACAGAGACGCUAGGGAGCAACCUGACAAAAAGGUCAUGGGCCGGUAAGCUGCAGGGAAAAUAUUUAAAAUACAAAAUCUUCCCUUAAAUUUUUUUUAAUAUUUAACAUGUUAUAGUUUCUAAUCUCAUGAAUAGUAGAGGAUAAAGUUUUAUCUUAAAAAAAGUAAUCCCAAGGGUCUCCUUGGGAUGAAAUUUUGCCUCUAUUAGAAUUAAGUGGUGGGCUCAUUAUUGUUACUUUUAUUUUUUUUAUACCAAACAUGAUAUAGGAUUAUUUUAUACUAAAAUUAUCCAAUCCUAUGAUAUAUAACUAAAACUAAACAGGCACUUAGGGUAUAUAUGAGCCACGGUGGAGAAGCUUUAUUUAAUAUUAUUGAUUUAAAUAAUAUCUCAUUAAAAAUGUACUGAGAAGAAAUUUCGGUGGGUAUUUUAGUCAAUCACAUGAUCAGCCUUUGGACUUGAAACGUCGGUCAGAAUGAUUUAUUCUAACAAGAAAAAACUAGGUAAUAUUCCACAAAAGUAAAAGUGACAAAACAACCAGCUGGAUUCUUUUAGGAAAUUACAAAGAGUAAUGAUACAGUCAUAAAUUUUUAUAUAAAUUUAUUUUAUAUAAAUUGAUGUGGUAUUAAUUCAUUAGUUGAAUGAAAAUAUAAAUUAAUAAAAAUAAAUUAUAUGGACCAAGUAAUAUUUAAUUCAAUCAAUCUUAUUAUGUCACAUCAAUUUAUAUAAAAUAAAUUUAUAUUUGUAUUAUUACUCAACUAUAAAUUAAAAUAAAUUUUUUCGAUAAACUACAAAUUAAAGUGGAUUCUUUUGAAUGCAAGUGGGACAGACGAUAAGGCUAAAAAUUAGUCAAGAAUCGAAUAGUCUUUUUCAAAUUCUUGUUUUAUUAUUUUUCAAAACCAGUUUUUGGUAAUUACAAUCGGGUCAUUAAUCAUUAUUCAGAGUUAUUGUUUCCUUCAGAAGUUAGUGGCUCAUGUUUGCAAGUGUGAAUAUGCGAUGCUCUUUUUCGAAAGCGCAAUGACAGUGGGUCCCGAAUCGGACGUCCCUAAAUCUUUUUAAAAUUUUUGCCGUAUAACGAACAGAGGUCAUUACUAAAAUUUCUCUUCCACAGCCUACAGCAGCUUCAGUUUAUCAAACUCAAUCAAUUUUCUUUCUUAACAAAAUUCCAAAGAUGUGUAGCAUUUUUCAGAUCACAUGCGAUGGUGCUCUUUUCAAUCGUUGCUUGGAUUGCUUUCUUGGAAAAGCAGCAUACAUACGUAACCUCCAAGAUAAUCUUGUAGCCUUGGAGACUGAACUGGGAAGACUAAUCGCAGCAAAGAACGAUGUGAUGAUGAGGGUUGUCAAUGCUGAACGGCAACAAAUGAGAAGGCUGGACGGAGUGCAAGUGUGGGUUUCGAGGGUGGACGCUGUUAAAACUGGAGCCGAUGAACUUAUCACAGACGGCUCUGAAGAAAUUGGCAAAUUAUGUGUUGGAGGCUACUGUUCCAAGAACUGCAGGUCAAGCUACAAAUUCGGAAAACAAGUGGGUAAAAAGCUACAAGAUGUGAAGACUUUAAUCGCCGAGGGAGUUUUUGAGGCGGUGGCCACUGAGGUGGUGCCCGAGAGAGCUCCGGAACCUGUAGCAGAUAAAAGACCCACUGAGCCAACAAUAGUAGGCCUGCAAUCACAGCUUGAACCAGUUUGGAGAUGUCUUGUAGAAGAAUCAGUGGGAAUCAUUGGCCUAUAUGGUAUGGGCGGUUUUGGUAAAACCACACUAUUGACCCAUAUCAACAAUAAAUUUCUUGAGAGUCCCACAAACUUUGAUUGUGUGAUUUGGGUCGUAGUUUCAAAAGACCUGCGACUUGAAAAAAUUCAAGAAGAUAUUGGGAAGAAGAUAGGUCUAUCUGAUGAUUCAUGGAAGAAUAAAAGUUUUGAAGAGAAAGCUGUGGACAUCCUGCUGAGAUUAGGAGAGAAGAGAUUUGUAUUGUUGUUAGAUGAUUUAUGGGAGCGGGUUGAUUUAACAAAAGUGGGCGUUCCACUUCCCAGCGCACAAAAUACUACCUCAAAAGUCGUAUUCACAACCCGUUCCAUUGGUGUUUGUGGCAGCAUGAGAGCUAGGCCGGUUAAAGUGGCAUGCCUAUCAGAAAAGCAAGCUUGGGAACUGUUCCGCGAAAAUGUUGGGGAAGAAACUCUUGAGAGUGAUCAUGAGAUCGUUGAGCUAGCCCAAACUGUGGCCAAAGAGUGUGGUGGUUUGCCACUCGCACUUAUUACUAUUGGUCGAGCUAUGGCCUACAGAAAGAAAGCGGAGCAGUGGAGACGUGCAAUUGAAGAGUUAAGAAGAUCAGCUUCAGAGUUUGCAGGUUUGGGAAAAGAGGUGUAUCCUCUUUUAAAGUUUAGCUAUGAUAGUUUGCAGAAUGAGACAAUUAGAUCUUGUUUCUUGUAUUGUUGUUUAUAUCCUGAAGAUUAUGGCAUUCUUAAAUGGGACUUGAUUGAUUGUUGGAUUGGUGAGGGAUUUUUUGGGGAAUCUGACAGGUUUGGUGCAGAAAACCAAGGAUAUGACAUUUUGGACACUCUUGUUCGUGCAUGUUUAUUAGAAGAGGUGGAAGAUGAUGAAGUAAAAAUGCAUGACGUUGUUCGUGAUAUGGCUAUAUGGAUAACUUGUGAAAUUGAGAAGGAGAAGAGAAACUUUUUGGUUUGUGCAGGUGCGGGACUAAAGGAGGCACCGGAGGUUAAAAGAUGGGAAAAUGUGAGAAGAUUGUCACUGAUGCAAAACCAAAUUAAAACUCUGUCAGAGGUUCCCACAUGCCCUCAUCUCCAUACUUUAUUUCUUGACUUCAAUGACAAUUUGAAUAUGAUCGCGGAUGGCUUCUUCCAACUUAUGCCUUCUCUCAAAGUUUUGAAGAUGUCAAACUGCGUGAAUUUAACUUUGAAAUUACCUUUGGGGAUGUCAAAGUUAGGUUCACUAGAACUUCUUGAUGUUUCGAAUACCGGCAUAAGAGAGUUACCAGAAGAGUUAAAGUUGUUGGUAAAUCUGAAAUGUUUGACUUUGAGGUGGACAUUUGAGUUAAAUAAAAUUCCACGGCAACUAAUAUCAAAUUCUUCAAGGUUACGUGUGUUGAGAAUGUUGGGUACUGGCCUUUUGAAUUUUCAUGAAGCGUCAGAAGAAAGCGUUUUAUUUGGUGGGGGUGAAGUUUUGAUACAGGAAUUGCUCGGUUUGAAAUAUUUAGAGGUAUUGGAGUUGACCUUGCGAAGUUAUCAUGCUCUCCAAAUUCUUUUGAGCUCAAAUAAGUUAAAAAGUUGUAUUCGAUCUCUUUUCCUCCAGUUGGCCGGAGAUGCAACGUCGAUUGUUGAUGCUACGGCUUUCGCAGAUCUAAACCACCUCAAUGAAUUAUAUAUUAAUAAAGGUUUUGAGUUGGAAGAAUUGAAGAUUGAUUAUACGGAGAUAGUACGAAAAAGGCGGGAACCUUUUGUUUUCCGCAGCCUUCACCAUGUUACUAUAUGGCGGUGCGCUAAAUUGAAAGAUUCGACAUUCCUCGUUUUUGCUCCAAACCUCAAGUCUCUUGUGCUAGGUAAUUGCCAUGCUAUGGAAGAAAUAAUCAGCGUUGGAAAAUUUUCCGAGGUUCCUGAGAUCAUGGGACAUAUGAGCCCUUUUGAAAAUCUCCAAAGGCUUCAUGUAGAAGAUUUGCCAGAUUUGAAGAGCAUCCACUGGAAGCCAUUGCCUUUCACUCAUCUGAAAGAAAUGGGGGUAAGAGCAUGUGAUCAGCUUGAAAAGCUUCCACUCGAUUCCAGCAGUGCAAAAGAGCGUAAAUUUGUUAUUCGUGGAGAAGAAGACUGGUGGAACCGACUUCAAUGGGAGGAUGAAGCCACUCAAAUUGCUUUUCGUUCCUGUUUCCAACCUUAUUCCUGAGCCGUGGUCGCAAAAUUUGAUUUCUGGUGAGUGCGUUUUUGUUAACGCUUAUGUUUUAUUCCAGUGUAUUUUUCUUCUGUCUUCUGCAAAUCACAAUUAAAUGUGUGAUACAUGUUACGGGUAAUAUACAUGCAGUAUUUUUGGUACACUGCAAAUCACAAUUAAAUGUGUGAUACAUGUUUACGGGAAAUUUAUAGACAUGCAGUAUUUUUGGUGGGGUCGAAUUGAUGCUCUGGUUUUUUUUUGUUGUCAAAAUUUUCUCUGUUUUUUCAAAUUGAUGCUUUAUUUAUAUCUUCUUCGUGAAAAGUGAUUUAAUUUCCUGCCAAAAGACGAACGAGAAGAACAUUAGAGUCAAACUAAUGCUCACAUAAAUUUCCCGUAAGAAUAUAUAUAUAAUUAGACUGGAAUAGUAGCCCUCUUUACAGAAAAUGACGCGAAAGUUAAUUUAGAAAGAUAUAUUCUUGAUUAAUCCAUUUUCUGAAGCUUUUAUUUUGUAUGGUCAAUUAUACCUUCAUACUAAAAAUUUCUGAAUUUAUAAAUUAGUGCAACUUGACAAUUUUUACUGAUGAUAUCUUCUAUUUUUCCUUUCUUUCUUUUUUUUUUUUACUCUCAUUGAAUGUUACUGUCAUUUUACUUACAAAUAGGUUUGAAUUUUAUUUAGUUUUCUCAUAGUAUUUGUGCAAGUACUAGAAGGUCAAACCCCGCAUACUUUGAUUGCCAAACCACCGUCCAAUUUAAAAAAAGAAAAAAAGAAAAAAAAUGUGUAAUCCAUGAAUCUGGUUAAUUUUGUUUGUUUGUUUUUUUUUUUUUAAAUAUCAUUCUUUUUCGGCCACCCAAAAUAUCAUUGAUGACUUUUCUGGUCUAAUGCUAUGUAAAUAGUAUGUUAAGUAAAACAUAAUCAAUUAUUUGUGUUUUAUCUCUAAUUAGAACAUCAAUCAGUUCAGUACCUCACAAAUAAUUCGCAAUAUCUACAAAAUACUAUAAUGGCUACAAAACAAAUCCUGCUUGCAAAUUGUCAAGGAUACCUAUCCGUUCGCUUGACAAGUCAUUUGAAUAAAUAUUGUUCACAUUCCUUACUCUGUCAAUUAUCCAAAGCACCAUCAACUUUAGUUUGAAUAGUAUACAUGCCAUCACCAUUACCAAGAAUCAAGCAUGAAAGAGUCAUUCUAUAGAGUGCAGAACAUGACUCUAUGCGGUAGUCAAUUUGACACACGACGAACAACAUAUGCUGCAUAACAUACAAAUUAAUUUCCCAUAUGUGAUGCAAUUUUCUCCUCAACAUAUGCGCAAUUCUUUCCAUUCCGGCCGUUGAUUGAACCCUUUGGCAACAAGACGAGCUUUAAGCCUGUCAGCAGAACCGUUGGAAUGUCUUUUAAUACAAAAAUCCAUUUGCAGCCAACAAUAUUGGAAGGGAUGGGAGGUGGAACAAGCUUCCAUGUCCCGUUACGAACAAGAGCAUCAUACUCUUCUGACAUAGCUUGACGCCAGUGAGGAUUUUUGAUAGCUUGCGUCACAGUUGUAGGUUCACAAUCAGAAGAAGGGCUAAAAUGAGCACGGAGGUUAAGUUUUUGUAACGGCUUGUGAAUCUUAUUUUUAGCUCGGGUAGUCAUAUCAUGAUGAUUUGUGGGGCAAUGAUGUAGUGGAGUUUGGGAAGAUGAUUGAAGAGGAAGUGAAGAAGUGCUUUGUGUAGAGGUAGAAGUAGGUUGGGAGGAUUGCUGCGGAGAUGUUACCGGUAGAGAAGAAGGAGCAGUACACGGUGGCAACUCCAGAGGGCCCAUAGUGAAACACUUGCGUAAUUAGGAGUGGUAGAAGAGCUUGUAAUGAUUUGUAUGGAAAAACAAACUCUACAAAUUUAACGAGACGUGAAAUGAAAAUUUGAAAGGUGGAUGGGUCAAAACAUAAAUAAGCACUUUGAGAUAAAGGAAUAUCCUAUAAAAACACAAGGCUUAGAGGGUGGUUCGAGUUUAUAUGAUGAAACACAAACAUUCAAAAAUUUUAAGUUUAUAUUAAUUAGGAGUGGUACCAAAAAUUAAUUAGGAGUGGUCCGCGGGACAUGUAGCUAUGGGGUUGUUGGAUGUGUUUUGGAUAUUUACAGACAUGCUGAGUUUGAGUUUAUAUCUCAACUUAAAAUUUGUAGUUUUCACUUGAAAAAAUUCAGUUAAAAAUUGAUUGGUAGAAUUGUGAAAAAAGUUUAAAUUUUUAGUUCAACCCGAUUGCAUAUUUAAGAACAUCUCAAAUGAAUUGCUUACUGCUAUCAUCAUCAUUAUUGUCCAUAUAAUAAUGGAUCUUUAUUAUAUAUAUAUGUUUCCACUAAAAUAUAUUUAAUUAUUCUUUAUUUUUCCAUUGUUGCGUGUAAGAUUUAUUUGAGUUCUAAGUUAUAUCAAUACAAAUGUUAUCUUAUCCAUUAAAAGUUAGAUCCAACAAUUAUGAAAAUUACCAUAGAGUUGCUUUCAACUAUUUUUUAAAAAUACCAGGAGUAAAAAAUAAUUAGUUCAAAUGGUGGAGACUAAAAAGCGUUCACCUUUAUUUUUUAUCUGUUAUUUAUUUUUUUCAUUAAUGCACAUGCUAUACAUUUGAGACAUUCCAUUAAUUGCCAAUUAUGUAUGUGAGAUAGUAAUUUAAAUUAAAAAAAUAAAAGUGAAAGUUAAUCCUAUGCAAUGUGAAUAAAUUUCUUUCCUUUUUCCUUUACUCUUUUUAUUUGACAAUAAAGUUUCCAUCUAUCAUCUAUCAUCUAUGUACGCAAAAUUUCUGCAACAGGUACAAAACAUAAAAAUAUAUGAUUGUUAAGGGAAACGCGCAGGAGUUCAUCAUUUCAAUGUUCAGCAUUACCAAUUUUGGCAUUAAGCUGAAUAUAUUCCACUUAGAAAGCAAAAUAUUAGACUCGUGAUUUUAAUUCAUUCAUUAUCUCUCAUUUUAAUCCCAAAAUAUUCAAGAGCAUCCAAGUUACCAUAAGACUUCAGAGGCUCAAGCCUUAGCCAGAGAUGGUUAAUUGAUAGACUAUGUGCCUGGGUCGAGCACUGGAAGCCUGCAAUGCAGACUGAUUGAUUUAUCAGUUUAACGUGUGCCAGGAAUGAAGAACUGGAAUAUCACCGUCAAGCAAGCACCCUGUGGAGCAAUACCGAAGAAUGCACAAUCCAGCUUUGCUAGGUGACACUGGAGGCUUUUUGAAAAGUGCUUCACGCUCACUUGCACAGAUUGAGCAUCCCCUCUGGAUAUUGCCCUCUCUGAUCGAGUCUGAGCACUCAAAUUUUGGUCCUCAGAGGGAGCUACAGUUUCUCUCCACUAACCAACAAUUUUCUAAACUCAGCACCUAGUGUGAUCAGAGUUGUUGAUAUUUGCAAAUGGAGAUCCCCAUAUUUGCAAAUGGAGACAUUUAACAAAUCACCAACAUGCUUCAUCCGGUCCACGAAAUUCUGCAACUGAUUCAAAUCUGGAACCUGAACCAGAGUCGGAGGUAUAUCUUGAGCCAUAUCUAAAGCAGUUUGAAGUUCAAGACCUUGAGCCCUUGACAAUGGUUUUGAAAUUGGAACAUCUUGGAUUACUGCAGACUUGUACCCCUUGGUUUCAAAGGUAAGGAAAGGCAUUGCUUGAGUACAAUUUGGAGGCAGCUUCUUCACCAAUUUUAUUUGGAGGCGAUUGGUAGCGGAUCCAGCUGCACCAAUUUCAGAGCAACUACUGACACUACUUCGAACAGCACACUGAAGAAGUGAUAUGUCUACGGCGAAGGCAAUGCAGUCCUCAUUUUGGCUUGAGACACAGUAAUCAUCGUAGAGAGUUUCCUUGUGAAACUGGGCAACACAUUGAAUCCCUUCGCCACUGAGAAGGUUGUGGAGGAAGUAAGCUUUCUCUCUAGUGAGGAAGAGGUGGCAUACCUUCCCCAUUUUGUCUAGGGCAGGUAGGAAUCUUUUUUCUAAGAGAUUUACUUCAUUCUCUGUGAGAAAUGCUUUGAACUUCAUCCCUCUGUCUCUAUCCUCACUUAUCAGGAAAUAAGUUGAAAGCACUACGAAGAGAGAGAGAGAGAGAGAGAGAGAGAGAAUUAAGAUAUAUAGACAAGAAAAAUAUUAGAUGUUGAUCUUACAAACUAAUACUUCAAGCAGUAUCCUAGAAAGCUAAAAACUGCAAGAUGGCUUGAAAUUUGAGAAGAGCACGUGCUUUUCCUCCUUAACUUGAGAAAAUGUUUUAUAUAGUGCACCUUACAGAAGCAUUUAAGCAAUUAGAACUUUGCACAAAAACAUCAAGAAGACUAAACAAAUCAGAUGCAGUGCAUUUGUCCAAGCACAAAUUGCAUUUUGUCCUCAACUUUAAUAUUUAUUGAUGAGAAUCAAUACAGGUCCCUCAUUUGUUAUAGAAAGCUUUCUUGUAGUCUCACCAGUUAAUAUGGAUAUUAGAUAAGGAAACUUUAUUAGGUUGCGAGGGUAAAAAAGGAAAGAGAUAUCAUUAUUUUAUUAUCGAUAAUUAUUAAAUUUUUUUCCAAAAAAAAGAACAAGCAAUGAUAUUUUAUUGUCAAUUGCAACCUUUAAUUUUUUUAAAUGCUAUUAGAAACACAAGAUAACAAAGAAAUACUUAUUUUUUCCUAAAACUAAAAUCAAUUGUUUAACUUCUUAUUUCAUAAUCCAACUCCAUUACUAAGUUAAAAAAAAUUGUUUCAAAAUUACUUGAGUCAUAUUCAAUGGACCAACAAAGUAACCGUUUUUAUUUUUAUUGAUUUUUGCAGGAAAUUAAUAAGUUAAAAAUAAUGAAAGCUAUUGUAAAAAAAUUUAUUAUCAACCUCAUAAUUUUUUUUUUUUUGGGGAAGAGAAUUCAAACAUUUUUUUUUUUUAAUUUCCAAGAAUUCUUGACACCCAUCUUAAUUAAAAGCUAUAUUUUUAUUCAAGAGUCAUGCUAUUCAUUCACUCACAGACCAAAGGCUUUCCGCAGCAAUAUUAUUAUUUAAAUUACAACAAAGGGGAAAUCAAACACGUCAUACAGAAGCUUAAAGGUGAAUCUACAAAAUCUAGAGCUCUCAACUACAAAAAUUACACUUGAUGAUCCUCUACAAGAUGAAGGUUGUUCAAUAUCUUGAGAUUGCCUGCCUUCCUCGACGACCUGCACGAUGUGUUUGUACAAAUCAUCAUACCUGUGCACCGGAUUUUUAAUAUCAACGCCACUGCAGCUGUGAUCAAGAACAUAAGAGCAUUUAACAUCUUUUCUCCAUCGAGAAAGAAUGUAGUGAGAUGGGAUCUCCUGCAUGCCACUCUGGUUUAGAACACAAAGAAUGUGUCUGCAUAAAUAUCCUCUGAAAUUGAACAACCCACAAACACAAAGCACCUCCAAGUCGGAGGCAUUGUACAAAACAUCGAAAGCCCUUGAAUCUUUCUCGUUGCUACCAACCUUAAAUUCUUCCUUCACUAUGUAUGUUACAGGUCCAUCAGCACUGACAUGUUUUGUGCUAUAGCAAUACAUAGCCUCCACCUCCGUCUGAAACUUCCUUAACAUUUCAUUUGUGUACAGUUUUGAGAGUUGAAAUUCAUAGUAUCAUCUUGGUUUCUGGAUACAACUUGAAUUUCUUGAAUCCAUAUCUGCCAAGGCUACCAGUUGAUAAUUCGCCUGCAGUGCUUGAUCAUACUUGUCUAAGAAUUCUUUCAAAGGAGUAUUCUUAUCAAGAUAUCCUUCAAAGUAUGAAGUAGAAACCUCAUUCUGCAGGAACGAAAACACUCCUGAUAAAAAAGCUUCCUUCAAAUAAAUAGGAGCCCACCUUUUAUGAUCUUCAUAUAAAGUUUGAAUCUAUCCGUGAUCCUUUAUUCCAUGACAUUGAAUCAUGUCUUCCCAAGCUGCUUCAAAUUUCUCAGGCCUGAGAGAGUGAUAAAUUGCUCUAUGUAAUGCAGCUUUAAUAGCUUCAUAUUCAAACAAUCCUUGGAGUUUCUCUGGAAUUUUUUUGCAUGAUGCAUGACAAUGAAAAGCAAUGAUAAGCUCUUGGGAAAACAUCACCAACAGCAAUUUGCAAGAUUCUACAUUGGUCAGUGAUGAUUGUUUGUGGAGAGCUCCCUAACAUACAUGUAAGCCACGCCGUAAACAACCAUGUAUAUGAUUCUAUGGUCUCACUGGCAAGUAAAUCACAAGUCCACAACCCAACAACACUGAUUGUCCAUGAUGAUUCACCCCAAUGAAUGAAACCAGUGGUACAUCAUAUCUUUCAGUCAGGCACGUAGUAUCAAUUAAGACCACAUCACCAAAGUACCUAUAUGCAACUCUUGACCUGGUAUCAGUCCAGAAUAGGUUUCUCAAGCAUCCCUUUUCAUUUAGAUCCACUACAUUAAAAAAGUUUGGAUCUGUCAACUGCAAAUGACAAAAGAAACUCUGGACAGCUUGUGCAUCUCCUGGUUUAAGCUUCAAUUGAUUUGAGCUAUUAACAUUAUUUCCAAAUACUCCAUUAACAUCUACCAUUUCCCUUGGUAUCAAUGAUAAGAGUUCGAAACAGUUUAAUUUUUUGAACUUCUUCAGCACUAUCUAAAUGCAAUGUUCUUUUGGUUCCAAUACCUAUGUGCUUAUGUGACUUGUAAAACUUUCCGCUUCUUGGGCUUAACAAGUGGUUAUGCUCAAGCUCGACUUCAAUGAUUCUCCACCUUUUGGUUUCCAUCAACCUAAACUUUAUCAUUGCUGGACAGCCAGUUCUUGUUUCUGGUCUUGGGCGGUUUGCCUCGCUUUUCUUCUUGAAGCCUGCACUACUACAGCUCAGCUUUCCUCUAUACUUUUCUCUACUCUUUCGGUACCAUGGAUUGCUAACUCUAACACCAAAACCCUGUUCCUUGGCAUAGCAAUUGUAAAAGUAAUAUACAUCAUCAUACAUCUCAAACUCCAUUCCAACAGUAGGAGGCAAGGGAUUUUGGAUUAUCCCAGUUUGUCCAACAUAUUCAGUCAUCGCACAAUCUCCUACGACCUCAAAAUCAUCAGUGUCAUCAUCACCUACUGGUUCGGUGUUGAGAGAAACUUCAUCCAUCUACAAUGGAUGUUCAAUGAAGUGAGCUUUAAGGAGAAAAAGCAAAAUCAGUUCAAGGAAUGAUAAUAUAAUCAUACAGUUACUUUCACAAAGCUUCAUAUUUCAUCACUGCUUUACCAACAUGCAACUGCCAGAGAACAAACAGACAUGUCAUAGACGCUUGAAUUAAGUAUUGGUACAAAUGAGCACACAUCAUGUGGGACAAAAUUUCAGUCACUAAACCCAAUACCACUUUUUACAUCAUACCAAGGAACAGAUUAAACCCGACACCUUCUUUUAAACCAUACCAAGGAGCAGAUUAAAUCAUCAAUGAAAAAUUAAUCACAUAAUAACUUAACCAGACAAAUGAAGAGCCUGAAACAGCACAAAACUUGAAUCUGAUUAUGAUAAUUGUUGAGUCCUUGUAUCUACAGCUUUCCUUCAAUGAUAAGACAAUGAACAUAAACGAGACACAAAAAAAUUAUUUUAAACUGACAGCCCAUGAUAUAAAUCAAACAAAAUCAACUCCUUUUUUUACACAUUACAUCUCAUAUUCAUUUACAUUGAAACACAAAAAGGAAGCAGGAGUGGGAAAAAAACAACAGCAGAGGAACUUAUUUCCAUAAGGUUUACGAAAUAAGGAAUCUAUUAAAACCCAAAACUUGAGGUCACCACUAAGAAUUUGGUUCUCAUUAUUUUUUUCUUCAUUUUUCACCAAUUGAUGAACUUAAAAUACAAUCAUAAAUGAUAAAACCCCAUCUCCAUCUUUUUGAACUAGAGCUAAAGCAAAGCAUUUUAAGAUGUUUCAUCAUUUUUUAAAAAAAAAAAAAACUCAAUAGUACAAUGUUUUUCAAUGUUAAAUGCACAAUUCAAUCUUCUCCUAAUUUACUCUAAUAAUCUCUUAAUUAAGGAAGAUUAAGCUUCAGUUGUAAGCUAAAACAAAUUUCUUAAAUCAAGCCCCAAUGCUUUAUGCUAUUCAACAAGGGCUCAUAAAUGAUAAAACUACUUCUAUAAAGAUACCCAUUUUCUAAAUUAAUUUCACAAACUGAAAUCAAACUCCUGAAACGUAACGAGCAUUAAUAUAAUCAAGCCCGAACAAGAAUUGAUAAAUGAUACAUAAACUCGUUUACACAUUUCGACAGACACUUUGCAAUCAAUGAGCAAAAAAUUAAUGGAGAAGAUAAAAUUCAAACGAAACAUGCCUUACAUUGAUAAAUUAGAAGGGCAAAAGAAAUUUUAGUACGAUAUGGGAUCAGGGUCUUGCCACGGUGAUGUUAUUUGUGAAGUUCGAGCGACUCAGCAGCCUUCGAGGUUGAAAAUUUGAUUGACCAAAAGCUUCCCGUUCGUUGAUUCUCUAAUAGUAGAAACGAGACUGGCAGUAUACACAACAAGUUCGCCGAUUUUAAAUUCCGUUGUUUGAGAUGGAAAAUUUUUUGAAAAAAUUAAUGUGUUCGAUGAAAAUCAAAAUCUCAAAAACCUUUUGUUUUUCAUUUUUUUGGAAAAAACCAUUGAGAUCCUUACUAUUUUUUCUUAUAUCAUCUUGCUUAAUAAUUUGCAAAGUCUAUCGCAUAGCACCCAUGCAUGAUGUAUGCUGCGUUGUAAUUUACAAUAUUGUACAUGAAUAAAUCCAGCUAAUAUUUGUUAAAAGAAAAUAAUAAUAACAUGUUAAAACUUUAAAAUUUGAUUAUUAGAAGAAAUUUUAAUUUAGCUAAGUAGGUGACAUGAUAAUAAAUAGAUACGUAUAAUGUCCGAGAUUUUUUAUAAGAUUAAUAAAUAUGAUAAAUUUGGAUUAGUUCAAUUUUGACAUAAUUGCAAACAAUUUAAUUUGUGUUGUUUCUCUAAAAGUUUGAGACACAAAUGUUAUUUCAAAUUGAUAAAAGUACAAUUUAAUCCCACUUGCUCUUCAACUAAAAAUUAAACAUGCAAAUACACACACUAAUUUAAAGUCAUCUGUAUAAUUGAAACGCCAUGCACUAGUAGUAGGUCAGAGAAACCAAGGUUGAAAUGUGUAGAAAUGUUGAAACGCCAAUAAUAAUUGAAACGCCAUGCACUGUUCGUUUAUUUUUAUUCAUGAUUUUUUGUAAAACGUAAGAAAUGUGUAGAAAUGUUGCCAGCAAUGAUUUUGGAACUUUGCAUAAAAUUUUUAUCGUUAUUGUUUUUGGUAUUAAGAAAUCCGAGGCGGUGAUUAGACGUAUGUUGCAACAAUUAAGAAAUUUCUUAUUGGAGAUAAUUCGGUAGGUUGCAACAAUUAGAGAAUCAUUUUCCUGUCAGUUAAACGGUUCAUUUUCAGCCAUAACAUGCUAAAAAUGCUACACUUAACGGUUCAUUUUCAUGGAUUUUCUCGGGAAACAAACAGAAAAUUACGGUUUAGAGAGUUGACUGACGUUUUGGCUUUUGAAAUUGAGAAGAUCGCGCGCCAAAUUGGAAGAGGGAAAGUGAAAGUGCGAGUUUUAAUAUGGGCAUUAGAUAAGGAAAUUUUAUUAGGUUGCGAGGGUAAAAAAGGAAAGAGAUAUCAUUAUUUUAUUAUCGAUAAUUAUUAAAUUUUUUUCCAAAAAAAGAACAAGCAUGGAUAUUUUAUUGUCAUUUGCAACCUUUAAUUUUUUAAAUGCUAUUAGAAACACAAGACAACAAAGAAAUACUUAUUUUUUUCCUAAAACUAAAAUCAAUUGUUUAACUUCUUAUUUCAUAAUCCAACUCCAUUACUUCGUGCUGGUUUUUUCAGGUGAAUAACAGCUAAAAAUAAUUUUAAAAGCUGUUACCAAUUCUCAUGAACUGUUACAAUUAAAAAAAUCAAGCAUGCAUGGAUGGUUAAGUGUGUAGAGAGAACCUCCAUCCUUAUAAUUCUUACUUAUGCAUGGUUAAGUGUUUAUAUUUAAACACUAAUUUCUAGGCUUCUUUUUCCCAUGUGGGAUAAGCCUCAUUUCCUUUCAAAUUUCCAACUUCAAGGGUGAACUUUGAGAGACAAUUUCUCAUUCACCCAAGCACCAUUUUGAGAAAAUAAAAUUAUACUUUUGAAGUAUGAACGGAAUAGAAUCCGAAUCUCACAAUAUUUCCCACUUUAGUUAAAUAGGACCCACUCAAAAUGUGCUCUCAAAAUAACAUGUUAUGCUAUUUUUUCAACAAAAUUGUGGGCCAACAAUAGUGGGCAUGGUGUCGACUUUUGAGAAAGCCUGGAGAUGCGUUGAAGAAGAAUCAAUUGGAAUUAUUGGCCUAUAUGUCAAUGGGGGAGUUAGAAAAUAUUUACUCAAAUCAACAACAAGUUCCUUGAUAGUCCAAAUAAUUUUGAUGUUGCGAUCUGGGUAGUGGUCUGCCAAGAUUUGCAACCCCAGAAGUUUCGGGAAAAGAUUGGGAAAAAGAAAGGCUUCUUCGAUGAGUCAUGGAAGAUAUGAAGUUUUGAAGAGAAAGCACUCGACAUAUUCAAGAAUUUAAGCAAGAUGAAGUUUGUAUUACUGUUGGAUGAUAGAUGGGAGCAUGUUGAUUUAAUUAAAAUUGGUGUCCCUCUUCCAAGCAGAAAAAUUACAUUCAAGAUAGUCUUCACAACUCGUUCUAUUGACAUUUGUGGCCUCAUGGAAGCUCACAACAAGAUUAAAGUGGAGUGUUUAAAUGACAAAGAAGCAUGGGAAUUAUUCUGCAAGAAGGUUGGAGAAGAUGUGGCGACUCUGUCCAAGUGCUAAGGAGAUCAGCCUCUAGGUAUGUAAAAACAAGUAUAUCCUCUUUUGAAAUUCAGUUAUGAUAAUUUACCAAGCGAUAAAAUUAGAUCGAGUCUGUUAUACUGUAGUUUGUUUCCAGAAGACUUUCCAAUUAGCAAAAUGGAAUUGAUACUGAGAUACGAAAUCAAGGAUACUACAUUAUUGGUGUUCUUGUUCCUUUAUGUUUAUUGGAAGAAGAGGCUCCACUGUUUGUAAAAGUGCAUGAGGUGAUACGCGAUAUGCUUCUGUGGAUAGCUGUGAAGGUUUUUUUUUUUUUUUUUUUUUUUUUUUAUAGGGAUAGCAUGUGAAGUUGAGAAGGAGAGAGAGAAUUUUGCAAGGAUUAACUGAAGUACCAGACAUUUGGAAAUGGGAAGGGUUGAGAAGGGUGUCUUUGAUGAUCAACAAAACUGAGAAGGUAUCAGAAAUUCCUUCAUCUCACGAUCCACUAACUUUGUUGCUUCAACAUAAUUAUUUAGAGGUGAUCAAUAAUGACUUCUUCCAAUCUAUGCAUUCCCUUAGAGUUUUGAACUUAUCAUGUAAUCAUUCUCUAACUGAUAAUUUCAAAGUUAGUUUCCCUACAUACGAGAGUUGCCGAAUGAGUUAACGUUCGUAGUGAAUCUUAAGUUUUUGAAUGUGGAGUAUGCACGGUUUCUUCAUUCAAUUCCAGGGCAAGUGAUAUCCAGUUUUACGAUGUUACAAGUUUUGAAGAUGUUUGGUUGUGGCAGGUCAUCUUCUGAUCGUGAGCCACACCAGAAGAUAGCGUUUUAUUUGGAGGCAGUAAAUUUUUGAUUGCGGAGUUGUUUGGUUUGAGAGACAUUUAGAUGUGUUGACCAUCAUCCUAAGAAGCUCCCAUGCUCUGAAAAGAUUUUUGAGCUCCAACAAACUUCAAAGUUGUUGAUGCCGAAAUCCGGAUGAGUUGAUCGAAUCUCAGAUCCCUGCAUCAGCAUUGAAUUUGUUUGGUGGGAAGCUGAUGAUUAGUUAGCACCAUGAGCAGAUUUUCUAUGAGCAGAUGUUCUGUGAGCAGAUCAGAUGUUCUCCUCGUUCUACGACCAGGGUCUCUGCUCGAUCAACUUCACCACGACCAGGAUCUCUCCUCGUAAAGCUUCUUCUCCAGAGGUUCCUGCGCACACAGACAAGUCAGAGUACGCCGGUUGUUUUCCCGGCGCAAACCCUCCGACGCUCAAGUCAGAUAUGAAGGUUCGGGGAACGCUUGCCACAGAUCUUAUGGCUUUUGUGUAGUUUUCUUUAGAAUUGCUUUUAUCUCUCUUCUAAUCUCAAAAUUGCUAACCCUUUUACCUUCGUUGGCUACCUUUUUAUAGGCUUCCUCUCAAUCCCAGUUUUCCGCAGUCUAUGCCGUUAUCCCACGUUCUCCUUCAAUUUUCAUCCCUCCUUUUUCGGGUAGUGGCCUUUAAAUGCUUUUAAAUGCUACAUCAUGGGAAACGUGGGGUAUCGCAUCUCUCGUAACGGUUCUGGGAAGAAUGUAAACGCCAUAAUUCUGUGGGAUCGUGUUCCUGCUUUUCCAGGAGAUGGGUAUCAGCUCGGGAUACACCUUUUGUCAGUAUCCGUCUCUGAUCGGUUCAUGUUGCCCUCUGCUCUGCUCGUACAGUUACACUUGGCUGAGGUGAUUCAUGCCGGGGGUGAUUCAUGCCGAGGUGAAAACAGUACUAUGGCCGACCUGGUAUCAUUAUUGGCUCAACACCAGUCCCCCAGUUUCUGGUCUUGUGAGUGAAAUGAGUCAAGAGUAGAAACUGAUAUUCAAAUCUUACCAAUCCGGGGGCUUCUCCUCUGGUCUUUCAUCUAUCGGGAUGGUCCUGAGGUAUCAUUUUUCUUCAAGGGAGAUUUUGACCUGAGUAUGGAAUAGGAAGUCAUCUGCUCAAGUUUAGACCACGUGGUCGAGGUGAUCUGGUCAAGCUCAUAGCACAUGGUCGAGGUGAUCUGCUCCACCUCAUAGCACCUGGUCGAGGUGAUCUGCUCCACCUCAUAGCACAUGGUCGAGAUGAUCUGAUCCACCUCAUAGCACCUGGUCGAGGCGAUCUGCUGAAGCUCAUACCAUCUGGCCAAGGUGACCUGCUCAACCAUUUGCUCACUUUCACUUGGAGGAGAUCAUGGUCGCUCUAUUUAAUUCCUCAAACACCAGUCCCCCAGUUUCUAGUGUUGAGAGUGAAACAAAUCAAGACUGGAAACUUUAGUGGUCUGCUCGUCUUCGCUUGGUUGAGCAGAUCCUGGCACGCUUGGCUUCUGUCUCGCCAUAAAACAGGCUUUGAGACUUUGUCGAGCCUUUGCAUGCCUUCGAUUCUUCAAGGAUUGGGAUUCUGCUCGCCUUCUCGUGGCCGAGCAGAUCCUAGCACGCUUGGCUUCUGUCUCGCCAUAAAACAGGCUUUGAGACUUUGGUGAGCCUUUGCGUGCCUUUGAUUCUUCAAGGAUUGGGAUUCUACUCGCCUUCUCGUGGCCGAGCAGAUCCUGGCACGCUUGGCUUCUGUCUCGCCAUAAAACAGGCUUUGAGACUUUGGUGAGCCUUUGCGUGCCUUUGAUUCUUCAAGGAUUGGGAUUCUGCUCGCCUUCUCGUGGCCGGUGGCCGAGCAGAUCCUGGCACGCUUGGCUUCUGUCUCGCCAUAAAACAGGCUUUAAGACUUUGGUGAGCCUUUGCGUGCCUUUGAUUCUUCAAGGAUUGGGAUUCUGCUCGCCUUCUCGUGGCCGAGCAGAUCCUGGCACGCUUGGCUUCUGUCUCGCCAUAAAACAGGCUUUGAGACUUUGGUGAGCCUUUGCGUGCCUUUGAUUCUUCAAGGAUUGGGAUUCUGCUCGCCUUCUCGUGGCCGAGCAGAUCCUGGCACGCUUGGCUUCUGUCUCGCCAUAAAACAGGCUUUGAGACUUUGGUGAGCCUUUGCGUGCCUUUGAUUACUUCAAAGAUUGGGAUUCUGCUCGCCUUCUCGUGGUCGAGCAGAUCCUGGCACGCUUGGCUUCUGUCUCGCCAUAAAACAGGCUUUGAGACUUUGGUGAGCCUUUGCGUGCCUUUGAUUCUUCAAGAUUGGGAUUCUGCUCGCCUUCUCGUGGCCGAGCAGAUCCUGGCACGCUUGGCUUCUGUCUCGCCAUAAAACAGGCUUUGAGACUUUGGUGAGCCUUUGCGUGCCUUUGAUUCUUCAAGGAUUGGGAUUCUGCUCGCCUUCUCGUGGCGAGCAGAUCCUGGCACGCUUGGCUUCUGUCUCGCCAUAAAACAGGCUUUGAGACUUUGGUGAGCCUUUGCGUGCCUUUGAUUCUUCAAGGAUUGGGAUUCUGCUCGCCUUCUCGUGGCCGAGCAGAUCCUGGCACGCUUGGCUUCUGUCUCGCCAUAAAACAGGCUUUGAGACUUUGGUGAGCCUUUGCGUGCCUUUGAUUCUUCAAGGAUUGGGAUUCUGCUCGCCUUCUCGUGGCCGAGCAGAUCCUGGCACGCUUGGCUUCUGUCUCGCCAUAAAACAGGCUUUGAGACUUUGGUGAGCCUUUGCGUGCCUUUGAUUCUUCAAGGAUUGGGAUUCUGCUCGCCUUCUCGUGGCCGAGCAGAUCCUGGCACGCUUGGCUUCUGUCUCGCCAUAAAACAGGCUUUGAGACUUUGGUGAGCCUUUGCGUGCCUUUGAUUCUUCAAGGAUUGGGAUUCUGCUCGCCUUCUCGUGGCCGAGCAGAUCCUGGCACGCUUGGCUUCUGUCUCGCCAUAAAACAGGCUUUGAGACUUUGGUGAGCCUUUGCGUGCCUUUGAUUCUUCAAGGAUUGGGAUUCUGCUCGCCUUCUCGUGGCCGAGCAGAUCCUGGCACGCUUGGCUUCUGUCUCGCCAUAAAACAGGCUUUGAGACUUUGGUGAGCCUUUGCAUGCCUUUGGUAAUUUCUUCGAAACUUGGGAUUCUGCUCGCCUUCUCGUGGUCGAGCAGAUCCUGGCACGCGUGGCUUCUGUCUCGCCAUAAAACAGGCUUUGAGACUUUGGUGAGCCUUUGCGUGCCUUUGAUUCUUCAAGGAUUGGGAUUCUGCUCGCCUUCUCGUGGCCGAGCAGAUCCUGGCACGCUUGGCUUCUGUCUCGCCAUAAAACAGGCUUUGAGACUUUGGUGAGCCUUUGCAUGCCUUUGAUUCUUCAAGGAUUGGGAUUCUGCUCGCCUUCUCGUGGCCGAGCAGAUCCUGGCACGCUUGGCUUCUGUCUCGCCAUAAAACAGGCUUUGAGACUUUGGGGAGCCUUUGCGUGCCUUUGAUUCUUCAAGAAUUGGGAUUCUGCUCGCCUUCUCGUGGCCGAGCAGAUCCUGGCACGCUUGGCUUCUGUCUCGCCAUAAAACAGGCUUUGAGACUUUGGUGAGCCUUUGCGUGCCUUUGAUUCUUCAAGGAUUGGGAUUCUGCUCGCUUUCUCGUGGCCGAGCAGAUCCUGGCACGCUUGGCUUCUGUCUCGCCAUAAAACAGGCUUUGAGACUUUGGUGAGCCUUUGCGUGCCUUUGAUUCUUCAAGGAUUGGGAUUCUGCUCGCCUUCUCGUGGCCGAGCAGAUCCUGGCACGCUUGGCUUCUGUCUCGCCAUAAAACAGGCUUUGAGACUUUGGUGAGCCUUUGCGUGCCUUUGAUUCUUCAAGGAUUGGGAUUCUGCUCGCCUUCUCGUGGCCGAGCAGAUCCUGGCACGCUUGGCUUCUGUCUCGACAUAAAACAGGCUUUGAGACUUUGGUGAAUCUUUGCGUGCCUUUGAUUCUUCAAGGAUUGGGAUUCUGCUCGCCUUCUCGUGGCCGAGCAGAUCCUGGCACGCUUGGCUUCUGUCUCGCCAUAAAACAGGCUUUGAGACUUUGGUGAGCCUUUGCAUGCCUUUGGUAAUUUCUUCAAAACUUGGGAUUCUGCUCGCCUUCUCGUGGUCGAGCAGAUCCUGGCACGCGUGGCUUCUGUCUCGCCAUAAAACAGGCUUUGAGACUUUGGUGAGCCUUUGCGUGCCUUUGAUUCUUCAAGGAUUGGGAUUCUGCUCGCCUUCUCGUGGCCGAGCAGAUCCUGGCACGCUUGGCUUCUGUCUCGCCAUAAAACAGGCUUUGAGACUUUGGUGAGCCUUUGCAUGCCUUUGAUUCUUCAAGGAUUGGGAUUCUGCUCGCCUUCUCGUGGCCGAGCAGAUCCUGGCACGCUUGGCUUCUGUCUCGCCAUAAAACAGGCUUUGAGACUUUGAUGAGCCUUUGCGUGCCUUUGUAGUAAACUUUGACUGGUUUCUUAACUCUAGCCUAGCUCUCUUUUCUUAAAUCAUUCUCAUAUUGAGUAACUUUCAAGAAAUCAAGUUAACUAAGUUAAACAGUCAGCCCUAAUAUAAGCACAAUUAGUUGAAUGAAUAUAAGGCAUCCUCAUAUCACAUAGUAGGAUUUAGAGAAAUAAUUAAAUUUUCAUGAGAAAAUUGUUUGUAAAUAAAAAUUUAACUUCUGACCUGUUCUGAUUUCUGCAAACGUCUGCCUUCAUUGUGCUCUCAUUUAAGGGUUUUGCUACCUUGUUUAAGCACGCUCAUCCAUUUAUGUACUGUAACAUUCUGAUUUGCUUCGACUAGAUGAAAAUUGAUAGAAACAAAAAUUUGGCUUCUCGUACCGGUCCCCACAGACGGCGCCAAAUGUUGAUGCCGAAAUUCGGAUGAGUUGAUCGAAUCUCAGAUCCCUGCAUCAGCAUUGAAUUUGUUUGGUGGGAAGCUGAUGAUUAGUUAGCACCAUGAGCAGAUUUUCUAUGAGCAGAUGUUCUGUGAGCAGAUCAGAUGUUCACCUCGUUCUACGACCAGGGUCUCUGCUCGAUCAACUUCACCACGACCAGGAUCUCUCCUCGUAAAGCUUCUUCUCCAGAGGUUCCUGCGCACACAGACAAGUCAGAGUACGCCGGUUGUUUUCCCGGCGCAAACCCUCCGACGCUCAAGUCAGAUAUGAAGGUUCGGGGAACGCUUGCCACAGAUCUUAUGGCUUUUGUGUAGUUUUCUUUAGAAUUGCUUUUAUCUCUCUUCUAAUCUCAAAAUUGCUAACCCUUUUACCUUCGUUGGCUACCUUUUUAUAGGCUUCCUCUCAAUCCCAGUUUUCCGCAGUCUAUGCCGUUAUCCCACGUUCUCCUUCAAUUUUCAUCCCUCCUUUUUCGGGUAGUGGCCUUUAAAUGCUUUUAAAUGCUACAUCAUGGGAAACGUGGGGUAUCGCAUCUCUCGUAACGGUUCUGGGAAGAAUGUAAACGCCAUAAUUCUGUGGGAUCGUGUUCCCGCUUUUCCAGGAGAUGGGUAUCAGCUCGGGAUACACCUUUUGUCAGUAUCCGUCUCUGAUCGGUUCAUGUUGCCCUCUGCUCUGCUCGUACAGUUACACUUGGCUGAGGUGAUUCAUGCCGGGGGUGAUUCAUGCCGAGGUGAAAACAGUACUAUGGCCGACCUGGUAUCAUUAUUGGCUCAACAAAAGUUGUACCUGAUCUCUCUAUCCUAAAUGCUUUGAUUCGAAGUCAGUUGAUGUUUUUGGCUAGGCUGAUCUGAAGCAUCUCAAUAGGCUAUAGAUAUUGCGAGUUGUAAGCUUUUGGAAGAAGUGAAGAUUGACUUUGUUGGGAAAGCACAAUGAACCCAUGGUUUUCACAGCCUUAUGUCACGGAAGUUGUCUAAAUACUGCACGGGUUGCUGCGCAAAGUAACCAUCCUAUGACAUUGAGCCAUGUUGAAAUAUCAUUUUGCUGUAAACUGAGGGAUUUGACAUAGCUUGCUUUUGCUCCAGACCUUCUUGUUGUUUCCAGAAAAUGUUGCCAUGAUAUAGAGGAAAUACUCGGUGUUGGAAAAUUAGGUGAAGAGAUGACGUCAAAUCUGGAACCCCCUGCAAAACUCCAAGGUUACGUUUGGCAUAUAGGAUUGGAUUAAAUUGGGUUCUAUUUAUAUUUUUAUGUUUGGUACAGUUCCGGAUUGAACCAUAUUAGAUUAUAUUUAAAUAAUAUUGAAUAGUAUUUAAGUUGGUAUUUUAAUAUAAAUAUCAAUUAUCCAUGAAAUUUUAUAAUCAUAAUUAAAAUAAAUUUAAAAAGCAAUUACUAGGAAAAUUAAAUAUAUUGCAAAAAGUUAUUGGGUAGUCAUAAUAUAAUAAGCAAAUAAAAUUAAAUAAAACAAAUUAAAUAUUUAAUUAUUUUUAUCAAAUAUUUAAAAAUAUUAUAUAAAAUCAAUUCAUUAAUGGUAUUAUUAAUUUUCAUGAUUAUUUUUAAUAUUAUAUUAGUGAUUAUUAAAUUUAAUACAAUCAAAUAAUGUAAUAAAUAAUUACACGUUUAAUUUUAUCGAUUAAUUAUUAAAUAUACAAGUAAUGAAAAUUUAAUCUCAGGAGUUGGUAGACGCAAAAGUACUAAUUUAAUUAGAUCAUAGAUAAUAAAUAAAAUAAAUUUUAAGUAAAUCAUAAUAAAAAAAUUAAUUAAUUGAUUCAAUCAAUCAAUAUUAGGUGUAAAUAAAAAAAGAGUAACGAUAUAUCCACAAACUCUUACACAAACUCAUGUGUCAUGAUAAGAUUGAUUGAAUUAAAUAUCACUUGGCCCACAUAAUUUAUUUUUAUUAUUUUAUAUUUUCAUUCAACCAAUGAAUUAACGCCACAUCAGUUUGUACAAGAUAUGUUUGUACAGGAAUUUGUGGCUGUAUCAUCACUCAUAAAAAAAAGAUACAAAUAAACCUCUCAUAAAUGGACAACUUUUAUCUUUAAUCUUAUCCCAACUAAACACAUGUGUAAAUUAGGAUUAUUAAUCCCAUGAUUUUAGGAUUAAAUUCAAAUUUAUUCCCCCUUAAUCCAAUCCAACUAAACUUGUCAAACAUGGGAUAAAAGUUUAAUUCUAAAAGCAUCACUAAAAGGCUCUUCAAAUAAGAUUUUAUUACUUAUUUGAAGAGCCAUAUCAAUAUUUAACGCUCCAAAAGACACUUCAGUUAAGAUUCUUCAAACAAUAGAUGAUUCUCUCUUUUCAAAUUUCGAGAGUUGAUUUCUCCCUCUUCAAUUUGUAUUUUAUUAUUUUUCAUUGGAGAAAGAGAGAGAAGUGCUUUAAUUGCUAUUGACUUUUUCCUUAAAAAAAUAAUUAUUUGAUUAAAAUAAUAUUAAUUUAUUUCUAUUUAAAGAGUCUUUUAAAGAAUAAUAUAUUUUUUUAUUUUUUUUAUUUAUCACAUAGGUAAAUAAAUAAAUAUUUAAAAAAUAAAAUUAAUAGAGACUUUUGGAGAUACUCUAAAAUUAGUCCAAUCCCAUACUUAAUCCUAGCAUCCAAAUAUAGCCCAAGUUGUUUGCUUAAAGAAGCUACCAAAUUUGAAGAGCGUUUACGGGAAGGCCCUGCGUUUCCCAGAUGUAUGCAGAAUUUUUGUAUCUAAAUGGCCAGAACUUAAGAAGCUGACGCUGGAUUUUGAAAGGGCGGGCCAAGGUAAAAUUCUUAUCAAGGGAAAGGAAAAUCGGUGGAAACAACUUCAAUGGGAGGAUCAAGCAACUCAGGAUGCAUUGCUUCUGUUUUUCAAAUCAACUGACAAGUGAUUGAAGGGGGCAUCAUCAGCCUGGAUGGGGAGAUCCUGGAGCAGAUCAGCAGGGUUUGAAUCUGCAUCAUCAACAUCAUCAGGAUCUCUAUUUCUAUUGCUGGUCGUAAUGCCUGCCGACUGUUGCUUGAAAAAGUGAUUAAGUGAGCCAGUUUUUUGUUUAUUAAAUUUUGUCUUAAUUGGCGUCCAAUAGAAAUUUACAAGAAUUACUUUUCUGUUCAUGCAAUCGGCGUCUGAACGCGGCUGAUCGGUCACCGGUGUUGGCGUUUACUGUGAUUAGACAAAUUGUAGGACUUCAAAAAUAACUUCUAUAGGGGUAAUUUCGAUUUCACAUAAUUAAUUUUAUUUACAAUAUUUUAUUCCUGCAAGGUCAACUGAGAUUCUUUCCACCGGGCACACCCUUCAUGUUCUUUUAUUUUCUGUCUUUUAUUAGCCGUUGGGUUUUACUACUCUUAUAUCCAACGGCUUGCCACAACAAGACAAAUGAGGUGGUACCUUCCAACUGCUGAAAGGUGGUUUUGGCCCCGAGUGAAACAGGGGAUGCACUUACUAUUAAGGACAGUUGGUGGCCAGCUAAUGCAUUCAUUUUAUGUCCUUUCGUCUUUUUGAAUUAUUGAAGACAAGGGGCUCCUCGCUUUUACUGUAGGUAAGAUCCAGAUAAUCUCGAUUAUCAAAAUAAUUAUUUUAAAAUACCUUAAUUAUUUUUUUUUUUAUGUUGCGUUUAUUAAACUAGAAUAAAAAUGAGUUGAAAUCGGAAUGAGUAGGAACAAGAAUGAAAAUGAAAAUAAUGAAUGGGAAUCAAAAUAAGUUGUUUACUUGAACUAUAGAAAUCAAAAUCGUAAUGAGUUGAGUUACCAUUAAUGUGUUUAUUUUGUCUUGGAAUCAGAAUCGAAACAAAUUAGAUUGUAACAAAUUACUAAAAAGUACUUAAUGGAUUAUUGUUAUAAUUAUUAUUAUUAUUAAUUAAUUAAUUGUACAAAAUUUUAAUUAAUUAUAAUAACUAUAAUAAAAUUAUUAUAAAAAUAUAUUAACUAAUAAUAUUAAUAUAAAUUACUUAAUUAAAAUAAUAUAUUAAUUGUGAUUAUUUAUUCAAAAAAUAUAAUUAUUAAUAAUUAUUUUUAAUAAUAUAUUAAUUCAUAGUAAUAAUUAUAUAUAUAUAUAUAUAUUUAUUUAAUUGUAUUAAUUUUAUUUAUUUAUUAUUAAUAAUAAAUGAAUUAAUUAUUAUAAUUAUUGUUAAUAAUUAUUAUAAUAGUAUAUUAAUUAAUUAAUUACAAUAAUAAUAUAUUAAUUAAUGUGAUAUUUAUUUAGGAACAAUAAUUAUUAAUAUAUUAUUGUUAAUAAUAUAUUAAUUAUUGUGAUUAUUUAUUCAAGAACUAUAAUUUUUAAUAAUUAUAGUUAAUAAUUUAUUUAUUUAUUUAUUUAUUUAUUAAUCAUAAUAUAUUAAUUAAUUAAUUAUAAUAUUAUAUUAAUUAAUUAUAAAAGAGGAUAAAGUGGAUAUUUUUAAUUUUGGGAAGGGCAAAAUAGUUAAUCCUAGGAAUGAGAGACUCUUUCUCACCUCUGCAUGGGAAUCAAUCUCUCAUUCUCUAUUCUCAAAUAGUAGUAGACCCCAUCAUUUCGAUUCUAAUUCUUACUCCAUAUUUGUGAAGUAAACAUCAUCAAUCAUUCUGAUUCUGAAUUUUUGUGAAUGGAGAGAUGCCGGAGCAGAUCAGCAGGGUUUGAAUAUGACCUUUGGCGCUUGCUUUUUUUUGUGAUUUUUUUUUUUCAUUUUUUCCUUCUUGUCAUUUUAUCAUUUCUUUGGCUUUGUCUCUAUUGCGGGUGUUAUUGCAUGCUUACUGUUGCUUGACAAAGUUUGCUAGCUUUUCCUUUUGUUUAUUAAAUUUUUUAUGGUCACAAAGAAUUACUUGUUCUAUUUGAGAGUGAUAUGAAUCAAUUUUUCAAUUAUAUAUUUUGUGGUCAAUGUGAAUUCAAUUUCAUUUGUCUCCCGCAAUUAUGAAAAAAUUACAGUCAUAAUAUGGAAAAGUACACCGGCAAAAACUUUGUAAAAGCUUCGGAGUGAUACGGGGAAUUCACUUACUACUAAGGACAAUUGGUGGCAAGCUAUUCCAUUCAUUUUAUGUCCAUCCAUCUAUUUAGUUAUUGAAGAUAAGUGGUCCAUUUGUAAAUUUCAGAUUGUCUCUCUCUCCCUCUUGAAAUAACAAUAUUUAAUAUAUCUCUUAAAUUAUUAUAAAUUUUAAUUUACUCUCGAUUUAAAAUGGAGCAUGUCGAUAAAUUUUUUUUCUUCUUAAUAAAAUUGACGUAAGUUGUGUUUACAGUAGUUUGAAGUUUGAAAUAUUUUAAAGAUUAUUAUUCUAUAAGGGAGUAAUAUGAAAUGAAAUUUACUUUUCAUGUGUGAACUGAAAAAGGACGAAGCAAGUGUCCCUACUUUUAUUUUAUUUCAAGGAGGAGUCAUCUCACAUACUUAAGCUCUUAACAUUACAUUUUUUUUUGUUACAUUUUUUUUUUAAUUUUUUUUUUUACACAUGCGUGUGGGUUGCUUAUCUGUAAGCUCCUUAAUAUAUAUUUAACACAAAUCAUGAAAAAGAUGGGAUUAUAUCAAGAUGAUCAAAGCAUGUAAAAAAAGAAAAAAGAAAAAAAAAUUAAGAAGUAAGACACUGAAAAUGGAGAAGAGACGGAAGCAAAAGAUAUUCCAAAACAAAGCAAUAACAAAGCAAUCUAUCCCCUUUCGAGGGCAGACUCAACAGGUUUAAAAAAGUACAUGCUUUGGAUUGGUAGUUGCAAUCAAGGGAAAAUAAAUAGGAUCCAAUGAAAUUUAAAUCUUGGAGAAAAUAAAUAAUCAUGCAGAUUUUCAAGAUUUUAAUAAGGGAUACUAAUAUCUUAUUUUGAUUAAUAACAUUCUUUCACUGUGUUAACUCAAAAAAAAUAUUAUAAUGCUUUACAAUAAAUACAAAUGUCCUAUUAAAUGAAUAUAUAAAAAAUUUAGAAUAUUUAGAAUAUUAUAUAAAAUAAUUUUAAUAUAAUGCGUGAGAUAUAUUUUAUUAAUUUAAAAUGUCAUUUUACCUAAAAAAUAUGAUAAAUUAAUAAUUACAUGUUUGAAGUUAUUUCAAAUAUUAAAAAAAUUUAAUAUUAUUAGUCUUUUAGAUAGAUUAAAUUAUUUUUUAAAGAGAUAGAUUAAAUUAUUUUAAAAUACCUUAAUUGUUUUUACUUUAAACAUUACCGGCCUUUCUUUUAUUUUAUUGCAAAUUAAUGCUAACAAGAAAAAGCUAGAUCAUAUUCCGCAAAAGCAAAAGUGACAAACACAACCAGCUGGAAUCUUUUAUAAAACUACAAAUUAAAAUGGAUUUUUUUUUUGAUAAAUUACACAUGAAAGUGGAUUCUUUUGAAUAUAAGUGGGGUAGGCUCUUUUAUUUUAUUUUUGAAUAUUGUAUAACGGGACUGUAGACUCUUUUAUUAAACUACAAAUUGUAUAGUCUUUUUAAAAUUGUUAUGAAUUAGUGGCCCCUACAAUCCUCAACAAUUGUACCAAUAUUCACAAGUUGGUGGCCCCUACAAUUCUGUUCCGAUAAUUUAACUGUGCAAGUCCUCAUUCACAAUCUUCCAGGUCAUGCUCUCAAUAAUUGUUUUUUUUUUUUUUUUUUUUUUUUUUUUUCUGCAUUCCCUUUCAUGCUCUUAAUAAUUGAAGAGCAUACUUUUCAUUUUCAAAUGUGGAGCCGCAUCUAAUGUCGCUAAUUUAAUUUGGGAUUAAAUUAGGGGACCAUUAUAUUGCAGUGUGCACUAAUUUUUGUGUUUAUCUAAACUCUUUAAGUUUAAGACAUAUUAUGGCAUAAAUAAGAAUAUAACAAUAACAAAAGAGUUAGAAAGUGUAGAGAAGAUCUUGCAGAAAUAUAAAUAAUAUCUAUUUUAAAAUAAUUUUUAAUAUUUUAUGAUCCAUUAGAUAUAUUUUAUUAUAUUAAAAUAAAUUUUAUAAUAAAUAAAAACAUCCUAUUAAAAUGAAUAUAUAGAAAAUUUAGAGUAUUUUAAGUAUUAUAUAAAAUAAUUUUAAUAAAAUAUGUGAGAUAUUCAUAGUUUAUUAAUUUAAAAUACCAUUUUAAAAUUAAAGAUUUAUUUAUGAUAAAUUAAUAAUUAUAUUUUUGAAAUUACUUCAAAUAUUAAAAAAUUAAUAUUACUAAUCUAUUAGAUAGAUUAAAUUAUAUAUAUUAUUUUCUAUUUAUUAAAAAAUUAAAAUUAUUUUUAAUUACUAUUCAAAAAAUAUAAUGAUAAAAAAAAAUCUUAACAUCUUUAUUAAAAAUUUAAAAAUUUACAUGAUCAAUUCUCUAAAUAUUUAGGGUAUAUGUGAACAUCGGUGGAGAAGCUUUAUUUAAUAUUAUUGAUUUAAAUAAUAUGUCAAUUAAAAAUGCGCGGAGAAGAAAUUUCGGUGGGUAUUUUAGUCUUUUCAGCAAUUAUCAUGAUCAGAUCAGCCUUUAGCUUGAAACGUCGGUCAGAAAAGUUUUAAAAUUAAUGCUAACAAGAAAAAGCUAGGUCAUAUUCCACAAAAGCAAAAGUGACAAAACAACCAGCUGGUUUUUUUUACUAAACUACAAAUUAAAAGUGGAUUCUUUUGAAUACAAGUGGGACAGACGAUUAGGCUCUUUUUAUUAAACGCAAGUAAAAAGUAGUCGAAUAGUCUUUUUUCAAAUUAUUGUUUUAUUAUUUUUCCUUCAAAAGUUAGUGUGGCUCAUGUUUGCAGGUGCGAAUGUCAGAUCACAUGCGAUGGUGCUUUUUUCAAUCGUUGCUUGGAUUGCUUUCUUGGAAAAGCAGCAUACAUACGUAACCUCCAAGAUAAUCUUGAUGCCUUGGAGACUGAAUUGGGAAAUCUGAUCGCUAGAAAGAACGAUGUGAUGAGGAGGGUUGUCGAUGCUGAACGGCAACAAAUGAGAAGGCUGGACGGAGUGCAAGUGUGGGUUUCGAGGGUGGAUUCUGUUAAAACUGAAGCUGAUCAAUUUAUAAGAGACGGCUCUCGAGAAAUUGAAAAAUUAUGUGUUGGAGGCUACUGUUCCAAGAAUUGCAUGUCAAGCUACAAGUUCGGGAAAAAAGUGGCUAAAAAGCUACGGGAUGUGCGGACUUUAAUCAGUGAAGGAGUUUUUGAGGUGGUGGCUGACAGAGCUCCAGAGUCUGUAGCAGAUGAAAGACCUACUGAGCGAACAGUAGUAGGCUUGCAAUCACAACUUGAACAAGUCUGGAGAUGUCUUGUAGAAGAAUCAGCGGGAAUCAUUGGCCUAUAUGGCAUGGGCGGUGUUGGUAAAACUACACUACUGACCCAUAUCAACAAUAAAUUUCUCGAGAGUCCAACCAACUUUGAUUGUGUGAUUUGGGUUGUAGUUUCAAAAGACCUGCGACUCGAAAAAAUUCAAGAAGAUAUUGGGAAAAAGAUAGGUUUGGUUGGUGAUUCAUGGAAGAGUAAAAGUGUAGAGGAGAAAGCUGUCGACAUCUUCCGGAGUUUAAGAGAGAAGAGAUUUGUAUUGUUGUUAGAUGAUAUAUGGGAGCGGGUUGAUUUAACAAAGGUGGGCGUUCCACUUCCCGGACCAAAAAAUACUACCUCAAAAGUCGUAUUCACAACCCGUUUCAUCAAUGUUUGUGGUACCAUGGAAGUUGACAGGAAGUUUCAAUUAGCAUGCUUAUCAAAAAAGGAUGCUUGGGAACUGUUUCGAGAAAAAGUUGGGGAAGAAACUCUUCAGAGUCAUCAUGAUAUCGAUGAGCUAGCCCAAAUUGUGGUCAAAGAGUGUGGUGGUUUGCCGCUCGCACUUAUUACUAUUGGUCGAGCUAUGGCCUACAGAAAGAAAGCGGAGCAGUGGAGUCGUCCAAUUGAAGAGUUAAGGAGAUCAGCUUCAGAGUUUGCAGGUUUGGGAAAAAAAGUGUAUCCUCUUUUAAAAUUCAGCUAUGAUAGUUUACAGAAUGAUAGGGUUAGAUCUUGUUUCUUGUACUGUUGUUUAUAUCCUGAAGAUUAUGGCAUUCUUAAAUGGGACUUGAUUGAUUGUUGGUUUGGCGAGGGAUUUUUUGGGGAAUCUGACAGGUUUGGUGCAGAAAACCAAGGAUAUGACAUUUUGGACACUCUUGUUCGUGCAUGUUUAUUAGAAGAGGUGGAAGAUGAUGAAGUUAAAAUGCAUGACGUUAUUCGUGAUAUGGCUCUAUGGAUAACUUGUGAAAUUGAGAAGGAGAAGAGAAACUUUUUGGUUCGUGCAGGUGCUGGAUUAAAAGAGGUACCGGGUGUUAAAGGAUGGGAAAAUGUGAGAAGAUUGUCAUUGAUGCAAAACCAAAUUGAAACUCUGUCAGAGGUUCCCACAUGCCCUCAUCUCCUCACUUUAUUUCUUGACUUUAAUCAGGAGUUGGAGAUGAUCGCGGAUGGCUUCUUCCAACUUAUGCCUUCUCUCAAAGUUUUGAAGAUGUCAAACUGUUCGAAUUUGAAAUUACCUGUUGGGAUGUCAGAGUUGGGUUCAUCACUAGAACUUCUCGAUAUUUCAGAAAACAGCAUAACAGAGUUACCGGAAGAGUUAAAGAAGUUGGCAAAUCUGAAAUGUUUGAAUUUGGGGUGGACAAGGGAGUUAAAUAAAAUUCCACGGCAACUAAUAUCAAAUUCUUCAAGGUUACGUGUGUUGAGAAUGUUCGCUACUGGCCGGUUCAAUUUUCAUGAAGCACCAGAAAACAGCGUUUUAUUUGGUGGGGGUGAAGUUUUGAUACAGGAAUUGCUCGGUUUGAAAUAUUUAGAGGUAUUGGAGUUGACCUUGGGAAGUUAUCAUGCUCUCCAAAUUCUUUUGAGCUCAAAUAAGUUAAAAAGUUGUAUUCGAUCUCUUUUCCUCGAGUUGACCGGAGAUACAGCGUCAAUUAUUGACGCUACGGCUUUCGCAGAUCUAAACCACCUCAAUGAAUUAUGGAUUGAUAAUGGUAUUGAGUUGGAAGAGUUGAAGAUUGAUUAUACGGAGAUAGUACGAAAAAGGCGGGAACCUUUUGUUUUCCGCAGCCUUCACUGUGUUACUAUGAUUUCGUGCCGUAAAUUGAAAGAUUUGACAUUCCUCGUUUUUGCUUCAAACCUCAAGUCUCUUCGGCUACGCAAUUGCUAUGCUAUGGAAGAAAUAAUCAGCGUCGGAAAAUUUGCUGAGACUCCUGAGAUGAUGGGACGUAUAAGCCCUUUUGAAAAUCUCCAAAUGCUUGAUUUACAAGGUUUGCCACAUUUGAAGAGCAUCUUCUGGAAGCCAUUGCCUUUCACUCAUCUGAAAGAAAUGGAGGUACUUAGGUGCGAUCGGCUUGAAAAGCUUCCACUCGAUUCCAACAGUGCAAAGGAGCGCAAAUUUGUUAUUCGUGGAGAAGAAGACUGGUGGAACCGACUUCAAUGGGAGGAUGAAGCCACUCAAAUUGCUUUUCGUUCCUGUUUUAAAAGUGAUGCUUUAUUUAUAUCUUAUUCGUGAAAAGUGAUUUAAUUUCCUGCCAAAAGACGAACGAGAAGAACAUUAGAGUCAAACUAAUGCUCACAUAAAUUUCCCAUAAGAAUAUAUAAUUAGACUGGAAUGCACACCUCUAGAUUGAACAGAAUUAAAGCUGAGAAGAUAUUGAGUAUAGUAGCCCUCUUUACAGAAAAUGACACGAAAGUUAAUUUAGAAAGAUAUAUUCUUGAUUAAUCCAUUUUCUGAAGUUUUUAUUUUGUAUGGUCAAUUAUACCUUCAUACUAAAAAUUUCUGAAGUUAUAAAUUAGUGCAACUUGACAAUUUUUACUGAUGAUAUCUUCUAUUUUUCCUUUUUUUUUUUUUUUUCACUUUCAUAGACUGGCAGCGGAUCCUGCGGCACCAAUUUGAGAGAAUAUACUGACACUACUUCGAACAGCAAGCAGAAUAUGUCUACGGCAAAGGCAAUGCAGUCCUCAUUUUGGCUUGAGAUGCAGUAAUCAUCGAAGAGAGUUUCCUUGUGAAACUGGGCAACACAUUGAAUCCCUUCGCCACUGAGAAGGUUGUGGAGGAAGUAAGCUUUCUCUCCAGUGAGGAAGAGGUGGCAUAUACCUUCCCCAUUUUGUCGAGGGCAGGUAGGAAUCUUUUUUCUAAGAGAUUUACUUCGUUCUCUGUAAGAAAUGCUUUGAACUUCAUCCCUCUGUCUCUAUCCUCACUUAUCAGGAAAUAAGUUGAAAGCACUAUGAAGAGAGAGAGAGAGAGAGAGAGAGAGAGAGAGAGAGAGAAUUAAGAUAUAGAGACAAGAAAAAUAUUAGACGUUGAUCUUACAAACUAAUACUUCAAGCAGUAUCCUAGAAAGCUAAAAACUGCAAGAUGGCUUGAAAUUUGAAAAGAGCACGUGCUUUUCCUCCUUAACUUGAGAAAAUGUUUAAUAUAGUGCACCUUACAGAAGCAUUUAAGCAAUUAGAACUUUGCACAAAAACAUCAAGAAGACUAAACAAGUCAGAUGCAGUGCAUUUGUCCAAGCACAAAUUGCAUUUUGUCCUCAACUUUAAUAUUUAUUGAUGAGAAUCAAUACAGGUCCCUCAUUUGUUAUAGAAAGCUUUCUUUCUUGUAGUCUCACCAGUUAAUUCACAGGUCUAUAAUCAUCUUGCAAAGUUAAGGGCAUUUCUUUCGAUCUAAAGUCUUUGCAUCACCACCUCAUCACACGCCAAGCCAAUAUUCCAUUUACCUCUACAACAAAAAGUUUUAAUUAAACAAUCCUAAUGCACGCAGCCAAAUAAAAUGCAGUAAGAAUAUUCAACUUAAAAAUCUGAAAGCCAACUUGGUGAAUUGCCUCCUUAGGUGAAGUUCCAUGCUUUACUAUAGUUGACAGAACUCAGCAAAAGCUUCCAUACAACAGAUUUUGAAAAUGAUGAUGCCAACAGAUACUUAUUCAAUCCAUUGAAACUCCAAAGGUUCAUUGUUCAUAGAAGUUUACAGAGUUUUGGUCAUCAAAUAGCUCAGACCUAAUCCCAAACAAAAAACGAGUGAAAAUUAGAUCACGAGCAGCUAAUUGUAAAUUCUAACUUAACUCUUCAUCUCCUUUGUAAACAAGAAACAAAAUGGAGACACGCAAAAUGAAUAUGGAGAAAAUUUGAACUCAAAUGAAAUGAGGGCACAAAAGCAAACAAAUGGCAUGCACCAAAAAACCAAGCCUCAAUCAAAAACUAAUUAACCAUUAAGAAAAAAAUUGCCCAGAGAAUGAACUCCAAAUUCAGGAGUCAAGCAAGAACCUUUCAUUAUUUCAGAAGCUCCUGUACAAAUUAAUAAGUUAUGCUCUUUGGAAGCAAACCUAAAUUCCAAGAGAAACAGAACCCAAAAAAAUUUGCAAUUAUACGCAAAGGAAGUGAAGCACAGGAUUCUAUCACACAUAGGAAUUGUAUAACAAGAGAUCGAUAUAUCGAAUUAGAAAACUCAAUUCGAAUUUGUGUCAAAAAUCAAAAUUAGAAGAUUUCACAUUUCGAGAGGAACAAGCAACAGAUGAAGUUCAAAAUUUCAGCCAUAACAUGCUAAAAAUGCUGCACUUAACGGUUCAUUUUCAUGGAUUUUCUCGGGAAACAAACAGAAAAUUACGGUUUAGAGAGUUGACUGACCUUUUGGCUUUUGAAAUUGAGAAGAUCGCACGCCAAAUUGGAAGAGGGAAAGUGAAAGUGCGAGUUUUAAUAUGGGUAUUAGAUAAGGAAAUUUUAUUAGGUUGCGAGGGUAAAAAAGGAAAGAGAUAUCAUUGUUUUAUUAUCGAUAAUUAUUAAAUUUUUUUCCAAAAAAAAAACAGGCAAGGAUAUUUUAUUGUCAUUUGCAACCUUUAAUUUUUUUAAAUGCUAUUAGAAACACAAGACAACAAAGAAAUACUUAUUUUUUUCUAAAACUAAAAUCAACUGUUUAGGGCCCGUUUGGUAUUGUUUCUAAAUUUAUAUUUUCUGACAAUAAAAAUGAAAAUGAAAAUGAUGUUUUGCAGUUGCUGUAUUUUAAAUUUAAGUAUACGUUUGGUAUCAUUUUCUAUAUCCUAUAUUUUAAAAUUAAAAAUAAUAAUAUGUGUUUGGUAAACACAUUUGAAAAUAAUAAAAACAGAGAAUAUGCGUUUGGUAAUACUUUUUUUAAAAAGAGUUUUUACUAGUAUUUACGUCAUAUUUAUAGUUAUAAAAUAAUUAUUUAGCUAAUACAUACACAAAUACAACAUAAUAAUUUAAACAAAAUUAUUAUAAAAAAAUUACAUGAUAAUAAAGUUUUAGAAUUAGCAUUAAUUAAAAAAAAGUUUUACAUUGUCAUUAUUUUUACACCAUAAUUAAGAUAUAUAUUACAACACAUGAUUUAAACAAAAUAAUUAUAAAAAAAUUACAUGAUAGGCAUUAUGCAUUACGCAUGUAAUCAUGCCACAUAAAAGCUGCAAUUCUAUCUCUUAUAGCAUUCAUCUUUGCGACACUUGAAGGAGAUAAAUCAAUAUUAGUAAGUGACCUACUAGUGUCUCCUUCUUCGUUGGUAACCAAAUCUUGCACAUCAAAGUCUCCAAAUAACCUAUCACAGGCAAUAAAUUCAAAUUGUGAAUCCCAUCUAAAGCAAUAAAUUGAAAUUACAGAUUGUUUGAUUGGAUUGAAUCCUAUCCUGGGCAAAGCUUGAAAAAACUUUAUUUCUCUCUAGUAACAAAAGUCCUAUUUGCCUAAUGCAUUUUCUCUGUAAAAAAAAAAAAAAUUGGAGUGACAUGCAAUAAAUUCAACUUGUGCAUCAUCAACAAAAUGGAAUUUGGAGUAAAAUCAACAUCAUGGCAAUGACAAUCGUGAACAAUAUCAUCUUUACAUGCUAUUAAAAACAAUUAAAAUCACUCAAAUAAUUUCUGAAAUUUUUAUUAAAUUCUCAGGUUUUUUUUUUUCAUUCUAAAUGUCAUAUAUACAAAUUCAUUACUGUCCAAAAACAUCCUACUUUAAGAAAUAUUUAAAAGUUAAUUAAGUAAAAAAUCUUGUAAAUUAUAAUGUCUUUUUUUUUUUUCGUUUUAAAUUGGUUUCCAAAGAAUGAUGUCUAUGCUUACAGAAGCAAAACAUGCCAAACAGCAGCAGCGACAUUUUGUGAAUUGUUUUUAACUUAAACAAAACAAAUACCGGCAAGUGACAGAUCCGAGAGAGCAACAGCAGCUGGCGUGAAGACGAGCAGCAACGGCUGAGCAGAGCAACAGCGGAAACAGAGCAGCAGCGAAGACGAGCAGCAGCGGAGCAGAGCAGCAGCAGAAACAGAGUAGCGGCGGCUAUGGCGGAAACACAGCAACGACAGUGGUUGAGAGUGCAGAUUUGCUGAGGAAAGGGAGAGAGUGCAGAUUUAUUGCAACUGAAUCAAGAAGGCUGCGGGGGAAAGGGGAAGAGAGAGAGGCAAUGAAGAGAUAAGGAGGAGAGAGUGGAUCGGGAGAAAUAAAGAGAGAGAAAGAUGUUGGAUGAAGAUAAGGGGAGGGAGAGAGUGCAGAUUUGCUGCAACUGGAUGAAGAAAGUUGGGGGGAAGAGAGAGCGGCAGUGAAGAGAUAAGGAGGAGGUCACGAUUUUUCUUUUGUUUUUUAAUUCAUUUUUAGGUUUAGGUGGCGUUUGUUUUUUUGUCUGAAAUCUGAAUAGACUUGAAUUAGUCUGAAUUCUGAAUAGGUCUGAAUGUCUGAAUCUGAAUAAUAUGUUUGUUUUUUCGUCUGAAUCUUGAAAAAUAAGUAUUAAGUUGUUUGUUUUUUUCAACUUAAAAAGCUGAAAAUAUAUACUUUUACAUUUGUAUCCUUAUUAAAUUUGAAUGUCAAAUAAAUAAUAUAUUAAAUACCACAAUAUUUUAACAUUUAUAAGUAAAACUAUAUUCAAGUGAAUACAUAAUUAUUUUAGAAUUUUAAUAUAUAAAAUACCAUAAAUUUCAAAUUUUAUCGUAUAUAAUAUAAGAAAGAAAAAACAGGGAUAUUUUUAUGUGGGGUAGAUAUCUAUGGGUGAGUUUUGGGAUAGACAUGAAAAAUAAAUUAUAAAACAUGGAUAUUUUUGACAUUAGCAAGUAAUUGACUUAAUUUAGAUUUCUCCAUUAAGUAAAAAGCCAAAAAAAUUAGCUUAUUUUAUUAAGUCAAAAUUAUUUAAAAAUUCUCAUUAAGUUAUAAAAACAAACAACUCUAAUUAACUUAAUUAAUUAAGUUAAGUCACUUUAAGUCAUUAAGUUAAAAAACAAACGCAACCUUAGUCUGUAAAAUUUGGAGAACAUGUUUAACUUGUUUUCAGUUGUAUAGUUAUAAUAAUGAAUCCGAAUUUUGUGUUUUGUAAUUUGUUUUGUGAAAAAAAUCCACCAAACAUGUUUUAUGUGUGUAUUAUAAAAAUGAAAACGCAAAUAUGGCUUGAAAAACGGUACCAAACGGGCCCUUAACUUCUUAUUUCAUAAUCCAACUCCAUUACUAAGUUAAAAAAAAUUGUUUUAAAAUUACUUGAGUCAUAUCCAAUAGACCAACAAAGUAAUCGUUUUUAUUUUUAUUGAUUUUUGCAGGAAAUUAGUGGCUUAAAAAUACUGAAAGCUAUUGUAAAAAUCUUUAUUAUCAACCUCAUUGUUUUUUUUUUUUUUUGGGGAAGAGAAUUCAAUUUUUUUUUUUAAUGAAUAUCGCUGUUUCGUUUGAGUUGGAUGUGAAUUCAAAUUCAUUUGAGUUGGAUGUGAAUUCAAAUUCAAAUAUUCUUUGUUUUUCAAUUCUGAACUCGAUUUCUUUUUCUCAAGAAUGUUAUGUAGAAAUGAUUUUUACUAAAUCAUUUUUGAUGAAUUGUUUAAAUUAAACAAUUGGAAUAAGAAUUGUAACGAUUUAUCAUAAGCGCGCUAAUAUGAUAACUUGUUUUACGAAAGAUUAAUUAAUCAAUUAAUAUUAAAUUAUAUAUUAGUCAAUUAUAUAUGUGUUACAUUUGUCAUGGUUUGUGCGUGAUACUACAUAAUUUCUAAAAGAAUAUAGUAAAAACACGUUAAAAUGUUAUUUUAAUGAAUAAAAUUUUAUAAUUUUAUUAAUUAGGUGACACAAUAAUAAAUGGAUUUCUGUAAGAAUUGAGUUUCUUGAGAUAAUUAUUACAUAAGGAGAAGUUUAGUUGGUUCAAUUUUGACAUGUUAAGAAGAGCAUCACAGCACAGAAAACACAAAUUGCCACUUCCACUAAUAAAAGAUACCUGUUUGAAAAGUAAUUAUAAACUAUCUUCUUUGUGUUAUUUCUCAAAACUUUUGUGGCACAAAUGUUAUUUCCAUUGACAACAGUACGAAAUACCACCCCUUUCACUUGAGCAGGAGCAAAGCAAAGGUAUGAUGAGCUAUCUCUGUAUAAUUGAAACGCCAUUACUAAACGAUUCUUGAUGAUGGGAGCCACCGUGCCAGCUUUGUCGCUGAUUUGGUAUUAUUCUUAACUUGCAGAUAGUUGUGGAUAUGAUAUGCAAAAGGUAAGGACUAUAUCUUCUUGAUGGAGGCCUCUGAUUUUUUCCCUUCUAUGUAAUUUAGUAAAUCGCAUUUUCCUUUGUGAUUGAUAUAUCAUACCAAAGUCAAGUCUUAAAUACUGCUGUCAUAUGUUAAGGUUCAACUUCCAUUUUGAUUAACGUCCAUCUGCUGCUGCUUCCAAAAGUGAGAAUGAGAUACUUUGGUUAAUUUCAGUAGUUGAACCCAAUAGAGUACUUUAUUUAGAUCUUCAUGGUUCAAAGGCCUGAAAAAACUUGCCGGUAUUUGGAAAAUGACAUUCUGUGCUUUUAUUUAGACUUAUUAUUUAAGUGAUAAAAACUCCCGUAACCUGCUGUCAAGAAAAUUUCAGAUUGUUAAAAGACAACAUUUUGUUUCGGCCAAAAAUGUUUGUUUCGAUUAAAGACUUGAACCAUUUUCAUUUAACCUUGAUUGUGAUGCUUUACAUUAUGCAUGUUCCUCUCAAUCAAUAAAAGUUGAGGUCAUGAUUUUAUAUUUCUAUUUUGUAACUUGAAAUAAUUGGUCUGCCUGUUUCUGUAGCUUGAUAACAUGAAUUUUUCCUUCUGAAGUUAAUUUGAUCAAUAAAGUAAUUCUUCGGAGAUGAUAUGCCCAUUCUAUAGUCAUUUUCUUAGCUAACAUGUUUUUUCUUCACUCUUCAGAGCAUGUCUAAACUAAUUGAUCGCUCAGCGGAGACUUUGGGUGAGAAGACAAAAUUUCUUAGUAAAUCCUCUGAAAAGGUAUGCAUAAUUCUCGAGUAUUAAAUAACCAUUGGUCAUAAUUUUUGUUCUUUUUUUGGAGAUCGUUAAAAGUGGUUGAUGACCUAUUUUUUACUAUCAUAGAGGGAUCAUGAAUUCCUUUUCUUUUCUGUGGCUCGGCAACACUUUCGGGCCAAACUAAGGAAAUCUAUUUUAGGUAAUGUAAAAACCAGUUGUAGGAUGUAAUAGUUUAUUAUGCCCUGACAAUAACUUUUUGUAUAAUUGUCAGUUUAAUGAAUACAAGAGGAACUCUGUUGGCAAAUUCAUCCAUGAUAGAAUAUAGAUGCUAAAAUUAUUUAUGCAUACCAGUUGCCUUAACUAAUUUUUCUCAACACUGGUAUUGAACAGGAAAAUGAAUAUGCAAUUUGUAUAUUGUGCCAUUGUGGAGAAUUUGGAUAUUCUUAUUUAAGUAUCAAGGAGAGUAUUUGCCUCAUCUUUAAACAAUGAAUCUUUGAGAAAUGAGGAGUGGGUGAUUGGCAGUGUCUUCAUGUAAAUGUUCAUUUAUUUGUAUUUUGAACUAUUACGAGAAUCUUUGUGUGCCAAAUUAGUAAUACAAAUGUUCAGAUGAUUUUUCCUGUUGAUCAUGCGCGUGUAUCUGCACACAACCAUUGUGUACCACUUUAUUCUGAUGCGCAAAUAUCUGUAGUUUAGAAGAAAAGAAAUAAUAAUCAUAUAUUAUUGCUUGGUUCAUGAUUAUUAAACGAUUAUGGCUUUAGAAAAUCCACAAAUCCUUUGUGUUCAUAUAUGAAUGUGCAAAGUUUGCUAUAUCUUAGAUUACCUUCUUCCAAGAUAACAAGUUCAUAUAUUUUUUUUAAUCCUUUUUCAUCACAGUUGAAUUUCAAGUGUAAGUUUUGUUAUUAAUAGCUGGUGUCCUGUUAUUAUGAUUUCAUAAACAGUGAGCGGAUAUGUGCUCUACUUUUGGAGGGCCUCCACAUGAAAGAAAAUUGCAACAAUUGAAUUCUUCUGGAGGUUAUGGUAUUUAAUUUAUUUUCUCAGCUUGUUGAAAGACUAAUAUAUUUCCUUCAGUACGCACGGCGUGGUGGGAAGGGUUUUUAUUGAAAGAAUUAUGAUAUUUCUUAGACUUUGUUUUGGAAGGGGGUGGAGGGAUUUCUCAUCCAUAUAUGGUUACUUGAUUAGCUUUUGACUGUAUUGUCUCCGUCGUGCAAAGGAAAAUCCAAAUACUAACGAAGGGGAAUUGCUUAGGCACCCAAAAGACAGAAAUGAAUUACAGAAGGAAGUUUUUGCUGCUUUAUUUAGUGCUGCUGAGAAAUCUGAUGGAUUUCCUGAAAUUACGGUGAAGACGGAGUGGAGGUCCAACGCAUUAGGAAAGGUGGUGAGUGAACCGCCGGAGGAAUUAGUACCAGAAUACAAGGCUAAUGUGGUGCACUUGCAGCAAGAUGACCAGACCUGUAUGUGCUCUUAUAUUAACUAUAUUGUUGGAUUUGUGAGUGUGUACAUUUUUGUGUGUAUACUCACUUUUGUAUUUAUGCAUAUUAACGUGUGUAGGAUUCUUGAUUUCUGCCACUUACUGGAGAACUAGUGGAAAGCUUUAUACUGAUAUAUGUGCUAUAACUAAUGGAAACUACGAUAUGAAUAUUUUCUCUCACCUGGAGAACUGUAUAACAGAUAUAAUUUGUGGCUCUGGAAUACUGAAGAUUCUGCAAUAACUAAUGGAAAAUAUGAUAUGAAUAUUUUUUCUCACCUGGAGAACUUUGUAACAGAUACAUUUUGUGGCUCUGGAAUGUCUAAAGAAUGCUUCAGUUUAGAUCAAAUAUCUUUUAGUUAGAAAAGAUAAAAUUCUCUGAAUCUGAAAGACUGAAACAUUUUGCAUAUUUUGUGAAAGGGUAGUAUCUGUAGAUACUAGCUCAUGCAUUGAGGUAAUAUCAGUGUUAAAGAAAAACAACAAUAAUUUAUUAUACAAAAUUAGGUUCACUUGCUUUAAAUGCUGGUCUGAUCAACCAUAUCAACCUGUAAUGGUUCUGCAGAAAUAUAUAUACGGGGAGAAACUAGCUAAAUUUUCCUUUCACUUAUGGGUUUGGUCUUUUUUUCCCCUAUUUUUCAGCUUUCCUUCUCCUGAAGUAUGUUAACAAUUGCAGAUAAUGACGAAGAGGACCGCUUCCAGGCUCUUUGUAGAGCUGUGAUGGAAUAUAGGGGCACAAUGAAGGAAUAUUGUAAGGCUGUAGGUACUUUCUCUCUUGUCAUUUAUGUUUUCUCACACAUUUUGUAUAUGCCCUGAACAUGCAGCUUUGUAUGUGUCAAUUGCCUUUUACAUUUUAAAAGCCAUAAAGUAAGAAUACAGUUCCUUGUCAGGCUAUUGAUGCGUUCGCUCAGAAGGGUCAUGUUCAAGCAGGAAAACUUCUAGAACAUGUAAGGUUUCCAUCUACAGCCAUCCAUUGACAGUGUCAAAGUAUUUGGCUGCAGCUUCUAGAAGCUACAUCUAGAAGCUUUGAUGCAGCAAAUGUUGAAGGCACCGCCAAGGAGAAAAAGAAGGAAGAAUGAAGAAGAUGUUGCAGAAGUUGAUCUUGACAAAUGAUGGUUGGAACGCCAAAAUGGAAGAAAGAAAAAAGGUUGGAACACGGCUUUGAAGAAGCCACGAGAAGAAUAAAGAAAAUAUUAAAAUAAUAGCUAAUUUUGGCUAUAUAAAGGAAGCUCCCCUUUUUUUGGUUUGUGUAUCCAAUCCUCAGUUUCUCUUCUUCAUUCAGAGAGUGUUUCUUUGGGGUGUAUUUGGGGAUUAGGUGAGAGAAAAUUAUUUCUGAAAGAGUGGUUGUAAUAAUUUUCCACAUAGUGAAUAUUUUUUCUCUGGUUGUCUUUUUGACAACGGCCGUGGUUUUUCUCCAUAUUUGGAGUUUUCCACGUAAAUCUUGUGUUGUGGGAUUGAUAUUAUUUUUCAUUUAAUUUUUCUUGUUAAUUUGUUAAUUGAAAAAUUGCUUGGAGAGAUCCUGGGAGGAAGCUCAAUUUCCUAACAGUGGUAUCAGAGCCAUUGAUUGAAGUUUUUUGGUGUCGGGGCACUGCUCACGUAUACGGUACUGUUUACGUAUACGGUACUAUUCACGUGAAGCAGUGGGAGCCAAUCCAAACAGUUCGUGGUGAAGAGUAAAAGCUUAUCUGCAAAGCAAAUAUGUCAGGAUUGAAAUUUUCAAGUCCGGUGAAAUUUGAAAUAGAAAAAUUCGAUGGGAGAAUUAACUUUGGCUCGUGGCAAGUUCAAGUCAAAGAUGUGUUGAUUCAAUCUGGGUUACACAAGGCAUUGAAAGGGAAGCCAUCCCCUGCUUCCAGUAGUGGCUCUGGAAAAGCUAGUAUAAGUGAUGAAGAUUGGGAAGAAUUAGAUGAUCGAGCUGCAAGUGCCAUACGACUAUGUCUAGCAAAGAAUGUUCUUGCAAAUGUAGGAAAAAUUCCUACAGCGAAAGAACUUUGGGAGAAGCUAGAAAAGUUGUAUCAGACAAAGAGCAUCUCAAAUCGAUUGUACCUGAAGGAGCGAUUUCACACACUGCGAAUGGCUGAAGGUACAAAAAUUUCUGAUCACCUCAGUGUUCUCAAUGGUAUUGUGUCAGAACUAGAAGCCAUUGGAGUUAAAAUUGAAGAUGAGGACAAGGCGCUUAGGUUACUAUGGUCACUUCCAACUUCCUACAAACACUUGUUACCUACUUUGAUGUACGGGAAGGAGACAGUAGAUCUUGAAGAAGUUACUAGUACUUUACUCUCAGAAGAAAGAAGACUGAAUGGUGAAAGUACUAAAACUACAGAUGUCUCGGCUUUGGCAGUUGUAGGGAAUUGGCAGAAAGAUAAAUCUAAGAAGAAAGGAGUCUGCUGGGGGUGUGGACAAUCGGGGCACUUAAAAAGAGAUUGUCAUAGUAGAAAUAGAGUAGGAUCGGCAAGUGGCUCCAGAUUAGAUAUUGAUAGUAUUGCUAGUGGUAAGUCUCUCAUCAUCGUGGGAGACGAUGAUCCCUUAUAAAAUGGAUGAUGAUGACAUCCUCAUGGUAUACCGCUAGUACCAUGAAAGGGGAUAUGUUACUACUAGCGGGUCCACAAGAUUUACACACAAGGCAUGGUUGGCAUUGAUGCAGGGUGUGUGGUGGAAUUUAUGUCGAUGGCUGACAAACUUCCAGGAAGACCAACAUGGAAGUUGCACCAUAAAUUUCAGCAAGAUAUUUCGACAUGUGCCGAUGUAAAAUUCUUAGAAUUGUUAAUUAAUUCUAAGUGGUAUACUCUUUAUGGUGGAGUAUGAUAAUUCUCUAUGGUGAGGAUUAUGACUAAGGUGAAAAUAGUAAGGUUAGUGUGGAGAUUGAUUGAUUCUCAAUCAAAACUCCAAGUGGGAGAAUGUCAAAGUAUUUGGCUGCAGCUUCUAGAAGCUACAUCUAGAAGCUUUGAUGCAGCAAAUGUUGAAGGCACCGCCAAGGAGAAAAAGAAGGAAGAAUGAAGAAGAUGUUGCAGAAGUUGAUCUUGACAAAUGAUGGUUGGAACGCCAAAAUGGAAGAAAGAAAAAGGUUGGAACACGGCUUUGAAGAAGCCACGAGAAGAAUAAAGAAAAUAUUAAAAUAAUAGCCAAUUUUGGCUAUAUAAAGGAAGCUCCCCUUUUUUUGGUUUGUGUAUCCAAUCCUCAGUUUCUCUUCUUCAUUCAGAGAGUGUUUCUUUGGGGUGUAUUUGAGGAUUAGGUGAGAGAAAAUUAUUUCUGAAAGAGUGGUUAUAAUAAUUUUCCACAUAGUGAAUAUUUUUUCUCUGGUUGUCUUUUUGACAACGGCCGUGGUUUUUCUCCAGAUUUAGAGUUUUCCACGUAAAUUUUGUGUUGUGGGAUUGAUAUUAUUUUUCAUUUAAUUUUUCUUGUUAAUUUGUUAAUUGACAAAUUGCUUGGAGAGAUCCUGGGAGGAAGCUCAAUUUCCUAACAGACAGCAGAUACAUUUUCAUUGAGCAGACACUGUUAGCAUUCAAGAUGCUGGCAGAUUCACUUGAUUCUUAUUAGUUUGUUUAGUGGCAAAGCAUAUAACCUGUAUUUCAAAGCCAAGUUGUGCUAUUGAUUAUGUUAACUUUAUUGUUAACCUAAAGUGAUAUGGAGGACAUAAUCAAUGUAGGAAAAUUAGGUGAAGAGACGAUGUCAACUCUUGAACCUCUUACAAAGCUCCAAGUUCUUUACUUGAAGAAGCUGCCAAAUUUGAAGAGCGUCUACUGGAAGGCAUUUCCAUUCCCAGAUGUAUGCAGAAUUUUUGUAUUAAUGCCCAGUUCUUAAGAACCUGCCACUGGAUUUUCAAGGGACGGGCCAAGGUAAAAUUCUUAUCAAGGGAAAGGAAGAUUGGUGGAAAGAACUUCAAUGGGAGGAUCAAGCAACUCAGAAUGCAUUGCUUCCAUUUUUCAAAUCAACUGACAAGUGAUUGAAGGGGGCAUCAUCAACAUCAUCAACAGAGAUGGAGAGAUUCUGGAGCAGAUCAGCAGGGUUUGUAUAUGAUCUUUGGUGGUUGCUUUCUUUUGUGAUUUUUUUUUUCUUCCUGUCAUUUUAUCAUUUCUUUGUCUCUUUUUCUAUUGCUGAUGUUAGUGUAUGCUUACUGUUGCUUGACAAAGUUUGCUUGCUUCUUGUUUAUUAAAUUUUUUAUGGUCACAAAAUAUUACUUGUUCUAUUUGAGAGUGAUGUGAAUCAAUUUUCAAUUAUAUAUUUUGUGGUCAAUGUGAAUUCAAUUUCAUUUGUCUCCUGCAAUUAUGAGAAAAUUGCAGAGUCAUAAUAUGGAAAAGAACACCAGCAAAAACUUUGUAAAAGCUUCGGAGUGAAACAGGGAAUUCACUUACUACUAAGAACAAUUGAUGGCGAGCUAUUCCAUUCAUUUUAUGUCCAUCCAUCUAUUUAAUUAUUAAAGAUAAGUGGUCCAUUUAUAAAUUUUAGAUUUUCUCUCUUUGAAAAUAACAAUAUGUAAAAUAUCUCUUAAAUUAUUAUAAAUUUUAAUUUACUCUCGAUUUAAAACGGAACAUGCUGAUGAAAUUUUUUUCUUCUUACUAAAAUUGAAAUAAAUUGUGUUUGCAGUAGUUUGAAAUAUUUUAAAGAUUAUUAUUUUAUAAGGGAGUAAUAUGAAAUGAAAUUUACUUUUCAUGCGUGAAAUGUUGAAAAAGGACAAAGGAAGUGUCCCUGCUUUUAUUUUAUUUCAAAGUGGAGUCAUCUCACAUACUUUAGCUCUAACAUUACAAUUUUUCAGGUUACAUUUUUAUUUAUUUAUUUUCUUUUUUACACAUGCAUGUGGGUUACUUUUCCGUAAGCUCCUUUAUAUAUAUUGAACCCUACGAAGAAUGUUAUGGAAGAGCAAAUGAUAUUUCUGAUAGACUCUAUUUGAUUAUGUAGCCUGAAUGGAUGUCUUGUUGAAAGAUAUUUCAGUGCAUUAGUUCAUCCUUGUCUCUCAAUGUGUUUUUAAUGGUUUUUCCAAUUGUUUAUUAUUAUAGAUUGAUUGUAAAUUGAUAUGAAUUUAAUGUUGAAAUGUUUUCUCUUUAGUGGAAUGAAUUUAAAAGUGCAAAAGAUUAUUGCACACGGAGAAAUAAACAUAUAUGCUUUAUAACUUUAGCAAUCGAUUCUUUUACAGCUGGAAACAGAGAUGAUGAUUAUCAUAAGGAUGAAGAAAAGGACAAAAAUUGUCAAUGAUUAACGAAAUCUCUAUGCAAAUUGAUUUUAGCAGGAAAAAAGUGAGCUAAAUGAUGGAGACGAUUAGUGGUAAUAUUUCAUAGAGUUCCUUCCAAUCUUCUCAUGAAUCCCCUUUUUGAGUUAUAUUUAUUUUAUUUUUAAAAUAUCUUUUUUCUCUUUUACUACACUUCUAAUUUUUCAUUUUUUUUUAUUGUUAAACUCAAAGUAGUAUUGUGAUAUUUUUUAUUUAUUUUGCAAUCUUAUUAUUACUCUACACUUAAGUUAAAAAGUUUUAUAGGUGAUGAAUUUUUGAAUGUUAAUCAUUAGCUUAAAUUUCACAUAUUUUACAUUAUAAUUUGAAAUUUAGUACCAAAAUAUUUAAUCAAUAAGAAUUAUGAAAAGAUUAAUAGAUUAUUCUAAAUUUAUACAACUUAUUUUAGUUAGAUCAGAAGUAGCAGGUUAAAAAAAGAAAAGAUUGGUUAUGAAAUUUGUUGGAAAAAAAUCUAUGUGUGUUUAAUUUUUAUUCGUUGUUAACUCUAAUUAAAUAGGUUAAAUAAUUUUGUUAUUUUUUACUUAUCAAAAAAUUUAAGAUCAAUAUUUUUAGUUACCAUUUGAAGGAUAUUAUGACAAAAACAAAAUUUUCAUGUCUUUGUUAAAAAUUUGGGGGUUUGUAUAACUAUUUUUUCAAAUGUUAGGGGCAUAACUGUCUUUUUACUCUUAUAUAUAUGAACCAUGGUGGUGAAAAAGCGUGAUUUAAUGUUAUUUAUUUAAAUAAUAUCUCAAUUAAAAAUGUAAGCAGAAGAAAUUUUGGUGGGUAUUUUAGUCUUCUAACGAUUAUCAUGAUUAGGCCCUGGUCUUGAAACGUUGGUCAGAAAAAUUUUAAAAUGCGUUCAUUGUCUUUACUUUAAAAACGUUAUUUUAUUUUAUUUUAUUACAAAUUAAUGCCAACAAGAAAAAGCAAGAUCUAAUAUUCCACAAAAGGAAAUCGUAAUAUUCCAUAAAAGCAAAUAACCAGCUGGAUUCUUUUAUUGAACUACAAAUUAAAGUGGAAUCUUUUAUUAAACAACAAAUUAAAGUUCAAAUAUUUAAAUAGUAGUGCGUUAGACGAUUAGGCUCUCUUAUUAAAGGCAAGUAUAAAGUAGUCAAGAAUCGAACAUCUCUAUUGUCUAGUCUUUUUUUUUUAAUUCUUCUUUUAUUAUUUUUCAGAAUAGGUUUUGGUGAUUACUAUUGGGUUAUUAUUCAGAGUUAUUGUUAUCUUCCGGGGCAGUUUCUGUUAAUCGAAAUCGUUAAUUAAAAUUUUAGAACUCUUAUGGGAAGAAUGUUUUUCUGUUAUCUUUUUUAUAUUCUAAUUUCAACUGUAAGGAGUCGUUUUAGAAUUUGGGUCUGGAAUCGAAUUUCAAUGCAUGAAUUAAUAUUUUUAAAAAAAAUUACUACACGCAGUUUAGGUUACAAACUAUUUUUUGCAAAGUUGACUAUGAAAUUGGAGAAAUUAAGUAAUUUAUAAUGUUUGCAAAGGAAGAGACUAACAUACUUCCAAUUACACUAUCUCUCUAUUAUCAUAAUAUUAAGACUAAAGUAACUUUAAAUAAAUUUUAUUUGAAAAGUUAUAUCAAAUGCAGUCUAAUUUUAUUAACUUGAAGAGUUAAUAAUUAUAGAAAUUAUUGUUCUAACUUAAUUAGUACAAGUGGUAUAAAGGUUAAGUGUGCACUAAAUCUGUUUAAAUUUUUUCCAGAAUAACUAACAGAGGUCAUUACUAGAAUUAUAAUUACUAGUCUAUUAGAUAGAAAAAAUUAUUUAUAUUGUUUUAUAUUUAUUAAAAAAUUUUAAAGUCAAUCUUUUUAAUUACUAUUUAAAAAAUAUUAUAAUUAAAAAAAUUUAAUGUCUUUAUUAAAAAUUUAAAAAUUUACAUGACCGUUCUAUAAAUAUUUAAAGUGUAACUGUCAUUUUCUCAUAUAUAUAUAUAUAAAUCACGGUGGUGAAGCUUUAUUUAAUAUUAAUGAUUUAAAUAAUAAUAUCUCAAUUAAAAAUGUACAGAGAAUAAAUUUCGGUGGGUAUAUUAGUCUUUUACAAUUAUCAUGAUUAGCCCUUCCUCUUGUAACGUAGGUCAGAAAAGUUUUAAAAUGCCUUGAUUUCAAUUUCUGCUUUAUAUUUUUCCCCGUAUAAUGGGGAGAGGUCAUUACUAAAAUUUCUCUUCCACAGCAAUUACAGCAGCUUCAGUUAAUCAAACUCAAAUCAAUUUUCUUUCUUAACAAAAUUCCAAAGAUGUGUAGCAUUUUUCAGAUCACAUGCGAUGGUGCUCUUUUCAAUCGUUGCUUGGAUUGCUUUCUCGGAAAAGCAGCAUACAUAAGCAACCUCCAAGAUAAUCUUGAUGCCUUGGACACUGAACUGGGAAGACUAAUCGCAGCAAAGAACGAUGUGAUGAUGAGGGUUGUCAAUGCUGAACGGCAACAAAUGAGAAGGCUGGACGGAGUGCAAGUGUGGGUUUCGAGGGUGGAUGCUGUUAAAACUGGAGCCGAUGAAUUGAUGAGGCACAGCUCUCAAGAAAUUGACAAAUUAUGUGUUGGAGGCUACUGUUCCAAGAACUGCAGGUCAAGCUACAAGUUCGGAAAACAAGUGGCUAAAAAGCUACAAGAUGUGAAGACUUUAAUCGCCGAGGGAGUUUUUGAGGCGGUGGCCACUGAGGUGGUGCCCGAGAGAGCUCCGGAACCUGUAGCAGAUAAAAGACCCAUUGAGCCAACAAUAGUAGGCUUGCAAUCACAGCUUGAAGAAGUUUGGAGAUGUCUUGUAGAAGAAUCAGUGGGAAUCAUUGGCCUAUAUGGUAUGGGCGGUGUUGGUAAAACCACACUAUUGACCCAUAUCAACAAUAAAUUUCUUGAGAGUCCCACAAACUUUGAUUGUGUGAUUUGGGUCGUAGUUUCAAAAGACCUGCGACUUGAAAAAAUUCAAGAAGAUAUUGG
rnacentral:lncRNA from 1 species